GAGGGAGAAGAGGCCCUGUUCGAGAUCAUACGCAGCCCUACCAGGCCGGAUGAUCUGAAUGAAGCAGAUGACGGCUCCCAAUAUCUGAACAAUACCGGGGAGGGUGAUGAUAAGAUAUUCGAUCAGGACGACCGAGCUAAUGAAGUCAUGAACUAUGAUUAUAAUUAUGAUUAUGAUGACACAGCCAAUGUUGAUCUUGAAAUAACAAAGACUACCAGCGAGGUAUAUUUAUAUAAGCAAGCAUCUAGUGAUCAUCACAUGUUUUUUUAUUUGAAGAUAUAUUAACGAAUCGAUCUUUCUUCUUUCAGCCCUCCGGAUCGAGCAAAUCUGCUUCUACAAACAGCAGGAGAAAGCGAGGCCCGGGAAAAAAGUUGAAGGAGGGUGUAAAGUACAACAUCAAUUCCAUCAAAGCUUGUGGUGAACCCCUCACGCUUAAGAACAUUGCGAACAAGUUCGUUCGUCAGUGCGGAGUUCUUGUGAAGGACCAACUCCUGAUAUCCAUUCAAGAAUGGAAAGAGCCAAAAACUAAACGUCCAGAUGUUACUUGGGUCGAAGACAGAGCAAAAUACAAUUUUGGGAAUCUCUGAUGGAACAUUUCACCCUACCAGAUUAUUUCACUGAUGUAGAUGUGCAGGAAGUCAAGGACGCUGCUCUUAAGAAGAUGACAAUUGCAUUGAACACCCACAAGAAAACUGUAUGGGCCAACUACCUCGCUGCAGACAGGAAGACUCCUGAAUUCAUGGGAACACUGGAGAAGCAAAGAGAACACUGGCCUGCUUUCAUGAAAUUCAAGGAAUCAGAAUUAUCUAAAGAACGGUCGAGAAAAAACAAGGCCAAUGCCGCAAAAAAGACGCAGUUCCAUAGGCUGAGGCCAGGUGGCUACAUGGUGGGAAUGCCUAAGUGGGAUAAGUCUGAGCAAGAUAUGGAGGAUGCAGGGGUCACUCCGGUUACUAGGAGCUGGCCCCCAGGUGUAGAACUUGGUUCUAUGCGCAUGGGGGGGCGUUGGACCCGAAGACACGCGAGGUUUCAAAGAAGGCAAGUAUAAAAGGAGCCGAAAAAAAGUUACUUGAUGCAAUAGAAGAUGCUUAAAAGGGGGUGUUCACGCCCAACAGAGAGAACGAUGAGCUUACGCGCGCCUUGGGAAAUCCUAAACACCCGGGAAGAACACGAGGCAAGGUCGUUAUUCCCUGGUAUGAGGGAUUUUUGGAAUGGAAUGACAACUACAGGAGCCGUGCAAGAAAGAAGAGGGAGGAGGAGAAGAACAGGAAGCUGGAGGAGGAGCAGAGGAAGCAGGACGCAGAAUGCCUUCAAGGCCUAGAAGCAAGGCACGCGGACUUGGCACUCAAAUUCCAACAGCAGCAGCAGAUCGACUCACUUAGCCAGGAAAGGGGGUCUCAGCAGCGGCAUCAGCAAGCAGAUGAUCGUCCAGCAUUGGAUAGCACCAUCCCAUCCAUGCCGAGAAGCAUCGUUGGUUCCACCCCGGGCGACGCACUGCUGGAUACAUACCAUGUGGAUGACAUCAUAGAGAAUACUAACUGUGAGCUACACUUCAAAAUGAAGAACAUAUCCAUGAAGGUGGCAGACGCCCUUGCUUUUACAAAUACCCCCGAAGCAACCUUCCAUUGCACCCCGAUUCCAGUGGGCUAUGCUCGUGUCUUGGUUGAUGAGGUGGUUGACCAAUAUUUGGGGCUAGAUCUUGACAUUCCUGGAGGUGACGACGAGCACACACUGGGAGAGGCCAUACAUCGUAUCAUCCUAUGGAGAAAGGAUUGCAUCAUCUUUCGAAGGCCACCGACAUCGCGUCAGCCAACUCCUCCUCGAAGUCCGCCACCGAGUCAGGGGACUCCCGCUCCUACAAGUCCAUGAACGCAUGAGCCGACUCCUCCUCGAAGUCCGCCACCGUGUCUGCAGACUCCCGCUUCUCCAGGUCCACGAACGCGUGAGACGACUCCUCCUCGAAGUCCGCCACCGUGUCAGCAGACUCCCGCUCCUCCAACUCCACCAAUGCGUGAGCAGACUCCUGCUCCAACUCAGCCACGCCAGCCGUCUCCGCCGCAUCAGCAAUUGUAGAAGAGACACGCCGCAACUAUGGUGCGUAGCGGUACGAGUCGAGGUAGUACAUGAGGUACAGGCGGUGGCAAGCAAUAUAAAUAUGGUCCAAGCAGCCUCGCUCCUCUUCCUUAGAGGCCUUACGACAUGACCAAGGAGCAAAACGAAGCCAUAGUGAAGGCCCAAGUGGACGCCCAUUUUGGACCGAAACCGGCACCGCCGCCAAGGGAGAAAGUGCCUGAGGAAAAGAUUGACCACUUCAUUCGUAUGGCUAGACCACCGGCUCCCAAGCCUGUUGACUCUGACUAUGAGCGCCAACUCAGGAAGGCACAUCGAGCACGACUACAGAGGGCAGCGAGCUCGAGCUCUAGCCAACAAGUAGCUGCCAAAAAAUACGGGAAAACCGUUCCCCAGCUGGGAGAACAGGCGGCGCAAUCGAUCCCCUCGCUUGUUGUGCCAACAACACAUGAGAGUACGCGCGCCGUAUAUUAUUGUGGGCAAACCGUUCCCCAGAUGAACAAUCUGGUAAUAACUGAGGAGCAUAUAAGCCAGGCUAAAAUGCUCGGUAUCAGUGUUGGACAACUCCUUGAGAUCGAGCCCAUGUCCCCUCUUAGAGGGGAGGAAAUAAAACGGCAAUAUGUCCGCGGCCAACCUUUGGUCAAGCCCAAGGAGGUCAAGAACCUCCCAACGAGAAUGUAUGAAUUGCAUCAGUGGUACAUGAACAUUACCAAGAUUUCCAAUCGAGAGUCCCUCAUGGUGAAUGUCAAGGAGGAGCAUUACUUCCAUGAGAAAGCUCUGUCCAUUGAGUAUUCAGAACUAUUUCAGUUAUACAAUCAAGACGCACUCGACAAAUCUCUCGUCAGUUGCUAUUGUCUGUAAGUGAUUUCUUUCUGUAAUUUAAGUCUCAAGCUAGCUGUAGUGAUCAUUUUGAUCAGUCAUUACCUGUAAUUAUCCUUAGUAUAUUCUUUUCUGUGGUAUUAUGCAGGAUGAAGAUGUAUGAAAUGAAAAAAUCUGGACGCUAUGGCAUUGGGUUCAUUGACCCUAAUACCGUUAAUGAGUACACAUGGAAUAUUCCAAGUUGUCGAGCAAGUUUAGAGGAAAGCAUGCUAGAGUUCUUCAAGCGCCUCAAUAGAAAUGAAGAUAUACUACUUCCUUACAACUUCCUGUGAGUCACACUGUCUUGUACUACAAAUUCUGUUUUUGCUUACUAGCUAGCUAGAUGUUAAUAAUUAAGUGUAUAGGGUUUAGGCUAAUUGAUUAGUGUUGUGCACAUGCCCACUUAAUUAAGACAUGCAAACGUGUGCGCAUGCAGUUUUCGCUGGAUCUUGUUAGUCAUUAAAGUUGAUAAAGGAACAAUUGAAGUACUGGACUCACUACUUAAGGAAGAAAGUGACUUCGCCAUCUUGAAGGGGAUAGUCGCCAGGUAAUUUCAAUCAUUAUUAACUAUAUCUCGGCCUAUUUAAUUAGUUCGUCAUUUCCUGAUAUCAACUAUUUAAUAACCCCUUUAUUCAUUUUCUUUGCUGGCGGGCAGAGCUUGGGCAAAGUUCAUCAAGGUGACUCCAGGCAAAUGGCGACAAAAGUUGUAUUGGUAUCGACCCAAGGUAAGUAAUUAAGUAUUACUAGCUAGCUUACCAUCUCUUUAAUUAUUGUUUCAAUACCAUUAAUUAAUUAUCAUGGUUGAUUAAUUAUUAUUUGAUUAAAUUCCAUUCUCGUAAAGGCCCUGAGGCAGGCUCCGGGGAAUAAUCUAUGUGCAUAUUAUGUUUGCAAGAACAUUCGCAUGCUGGCGUCCAAAAGGAGCAAAUCUCAAAGACAGGAAUGGGUACGUUUGCCAGAACACUAUUCACAAUAUUUACAUAAUUAUCGAUAUCUAGUCACACAACUAAUACACAUGCAUAUUGAUCUCCUUAUUAAUAGUUCAAAGAGGUGCCGAGAAGCUCCUAGCAACAGAGCGCAUACUAGCACUUCAAGAGGAAAUAGCGGGAUUUUUGCUCGACCAGGUCAUAGAUCCCAAAGGAGAAUACUAUUACUCGCUACCGCCCCCAUGAACCACUUGUCAUAGUGCUCCGAAGGCACCAAGACAACAUGUAGGAGAAAUUGUAUAUAUACAUGUGUAUCUGUGAAUAAUUAAUGGUGGUUGUGAGACAUUCAAUGAUAUAUAUAUAUAUAGUAACACUAUUCUGAUCCCAGGAUCAGAAUAGUUAUUUGGAUCACGAUCGGCCCUAUAAGGGCCCGACAACACGUUCCGAGAUCGCUAAAAACCCACCUGACCCGAUCGGUACAAGAAAAAGAAAAAAAAGGCCGACCCACCCCCAACCUCCCGCACCUUCCUCCUCUGCCCCCGAUCCCCUGCCGCCACAACCACACCCGUCCUCGGAACCGCCCGCCGUCCCCCUGGUGCGCCACCCACCGCCGCUGGCAAAGAUCCCCACGCGCCGCCGCCAGUCGGGGAUCAUCACGUGCCCCCACCACCCAUGGAUCCAUACGCUCCAUCAGCGGCCCUAGAUCCCCACCCCGCCGAUCGAGGAUCCUGCUCGGCGCCAGCUGUGGAUCCCGCGUGUAGCAGUUGGGCCGUGGUUGUUAAAACACUGCCGGAGACCUCCAAGUCCAGGUGCCGCCGUGGCCUUCAGCUUCCCCUACACCCCUUCCCCACAUGUCACCGCCACCAUCUUCCUCCCCACGCGCCACUGCCAUCUUCCUCAUUCACUGGUUGCCGUCGUAGCCACCAUGGCUUCUCCCUUCCUUCUGCUACCCCCCUUCACUGACAGGUCACUCCCCACUACUCUGAUCCACGGCGGAUCCUCCUCUGACCGGCUUCCCCCACCACUAGUGCAAUACCUCCUGACUACCCCCUGCGUCACCGGUAGCCGCGGUGGUCUGGUCCUCCCGGAUUGCACUCAUCAGCAGGUCAAACACAAAGUUCGUGGUAGGUCGACUCAAGAAGUUGGAGCAAAAAAGGAGGCAGUUCGUGGCAGGUCAAACCGGAGUGCUAAUCCUGGAAUUAGAUGGGUGGUCUCGACCUGCAGCUGCACGAGGUCUCGACCUGCAGUUCGGCACUUCUUGGUUGCUCUUUUCUGGUGCUGGUUGUGUUGAUAUUUCCUGUACGCUUUUGUUGCCCGCUCUAUGUUCCAGCUAAGUGUUAUGUCAAGCUGGUUCCCAUUAGUCAUUUAUCAUGCCUUUGUUCUGAAUCUAAACGACGUACGUCCGCUCGGGCCUGGCGCAUAGAGGUAAAACCUGAAUUUGAAACAUCUUGUAGAUUUUUAGAUACAUGUGUAUAGUCAUCAAAGUUCAGAAUAAAUGCUACUCAGAAGUCGUUGAUCGGUUGUUUCUGAUCGAGGCAGGGCGCGCACCUAGUAGCUAGCAAAAGCUAGCUCACUCUGAGGUCUGAUACAUACAUCGGUUAAUUGAUAGAAUUUGUAAAGCUAGUACCCAUGUGAGUAACCAAUAGAAAAAAUCAUUCGUUGAUUUUGUUCUCUAUGUUUUAAAGUAUGUGGUGUACAAAAAAGAGAGGACUUAGUUGGCCCACACACAACAGAAAAAACAUCGCUCUAAAACAUCAUGUUGUGCAGUUUCUUGUUUUGUAUCAUUUCGUGGAGUUCAACGGUAUGUAUGGAUGCAAAAAAGUAUUUUUUGAUAUGUUAGUUUCAAUUCAAAAACAACAAAACACCAAGUAAGUUCAAAUACUAGAAGAAAAGGAAGUCCAAAAAAGAAGAAAAAGAACAGAAAACAUACACGACAUAAAAGACAAGAAAAAAAACAAAGCCUCACCCAGAAAUUGUUUAAUCUCAAAGUUCAUUGUCUUGAGCCCCUCGAGAAAAUUUCGCGAAGUCCAAAUUGUAAAAAAAAUCGAAGUUCAAAUUGUAAAAAACAUGUAUUUCUCCAUUUCUAAAAAUGAAACAGAGAAGUUCAAAUAAAAAAAGAUCAGUUUUACUUUUGUAAAAAAAGACUUUCCCAUUUCUAAUAACAAAACCAACUAGUUAAACUAAAAAAGAUAGAAAUUUCAUUUUUUAAAAUAUGAAUUGUCCUCAUUUCUAAAAAAGUAAGAAGAUCAAAUUCAAUGAAACGAAAAGAGUUCAUUGUCUCUAGAAAAAAGGAAUUUGCCUUUUUUAAAAUAAACAUAGAAGUUUAAGUAAAAACAUAGAAGUUCAAAUUAAAAAUAAGAGAGAAGUCCGAAUUUUAUAAAAACAUAGAAUUUACAAGUUAAAAAAAUGGUUGCUAUUUUUGGCAUUUUGAAAACUACCCAUAAAUGGAGACAAAUUUGGAAAAAAAUGAUGGAAAAAUUUGCUUCUCAAAUAUAAUCUUUCCAAUGGUAUAUCAUGCGCAUUAUUCCCAUAAUAUAAUUUGAAUGUUUUAUGUAUAUCAUUGAAAACAAGUCUUAGCAUGUUCAAAAUAUGUUGUUAACUAGUCAUGAUUUGUUAAAAAAUGCUUGCCAGUGCAAUCAUUUGCUCAAAAAUCGCUGAGUGCUUUAGGAGUUAGGGACAAUAUUUUUACAGAGAAGUUCAAAUUGAAAACGGCCAAAAGUUCAUGUGCUGCAUGGUGUGUGUUUUCAUAUGAGAAAAAUAGAAUAAAAAGUUAAAGUAUAAAAAUUUCGCUGCUAGAAGUUUAGGUGCUCAGCACAGGGAAGUUCAAAAACUUGUUGUUAGAGAGGUAAUUGGCAUUAUAUAUCAUUUGUGCAAGCCCGAUGAAAGGGUGAGAAAUUACGAACAAAAAUGCGUGGUAGAAGUUCAAAGUGAAAACAGCGGGAAGUUUCGAUGAUUAUAGAAAACUCAGAUUUUUUUCCUCGUUAUUAAAUAAUGGAAACAAGAAAUUCAAAAAUAAAAUAACAAGAAGUUCAACUUUUAAAAAUAUAGCACUUCAAAAUUUCAUAAAAAGGAUUAUAGAAAUAAAACCAGGAAGUCCAUAUUAAAAUGAUGGAGAAGUUCGAUGAUUAUAGAAAACUCAGAUUUUCCUCGUUCUUAAAGAAUUGAAACAAGAAGUUCAAGAAAAACAAGAAGGUCAACUUUUAAAAAUAGAGCGCUUCAAAAGUCAUAAAAAGAUUAAUAAAUAAAAUCAGGAAGUCCAUAUUAAAAAGAUGGAGAAGUUCGAUGAUUAUAGAAAACUCAGAUUUUCCUCGUUAUUCAAGGAUGGAAACAACAAGUUCAAAAAUUCAAUAACAUGAAGUUCAACUUUUAAUAAUAGAGGGCCUCAAAAUUUCAUGAAAGAAGAUUAAGAAAUAAAACCAGGAAGUCCAUAUUAAAAAGAUGGAGAAGUUUGAUGAUUAAAGAAAACUCAGAUUUUUCUCGUUAUUAAAGAAUGGAAAUAAGAAGUUCAUAAAUUAAAUAACAAGAAGUUCAACUUUUAAUAAUAGAGCGCUUCAAAAUUUCAUAAAAAAGGAUUAAGAAAAUCAGAUUAAAAAUCAUAAAGAAAAACUCAGAUAUAUUCACGUAACCUAGAGAAGUUCAGAUUGAUAACUGCCAGUAGUUCACGUAUUACACAGUGUGCAUUUUGUAUUAAAAAAAGAAUAAAAAAAUAAAGGCUAAAAGUUUUGUUGUUAUAAGUUCAAGUCGUCGGUCGAAGAAAGUUAAAAAAUUUAUUGUGAGAGAGGUUUGUACAAAAGGAAUAUCAUUUGUGUAAUAGUGACGAAAAUGGACGAGAAAAUUACAAAGGAAAAAUACGUCAUAGAAGUUCAAUGUGAAAACAGCAGGAAGUUCAACUACUACACUGAAUGAAUUUCAGAUGAAAAACUUUUAGAACCAUCGCGAGUAUGAGAAAAUAACCAACACUAAAAAGUUGCGUGUUUACAUCAGCUUUCCAUCGGUAUAUCACUCGUUGAAUUCCGGGGAGUCGAUGGAGAACUACGAGUAGUGGAUGGAGAUCUGCGAGCAAAAAGAAGCACGUAAAAUACAGAGUGAAGUUCCGGAAGACAUGCUGAGAAGUUCAUGUUCUUCACGUGGUGCAUUUUCGAAAAUCUGUUUCGCGAUAGAGGCAGAACGAAUGAUCCCUCCGUUUUCAAAAUUACUUGAAAACGGCUAAGAAUCAGAGAAAACCGUCAACAUGAAAAAGUUUCGCAUUUUCCGUAGCUUUUCAACGGUAUAUUGUUUGCACAAUUCCGAUAAAGUUUGUAGAAAUUACGGUGAAAAUAAUUUUUUCGCCAUUUUCGAAACUGACUUAAAACUGUAAAGAAUUUGGAGAAACAAUACAUACCAAAAAGUUUCGCAUUUGUUCAAGAUUUCCAACGCCAUAUCAUUUGCUGCAUUCGGACGCAUGGUUAAAAAAUUAGCUCGAAAAUACGAACUCGGUAGGACUUGGACCUUUUUCUAAAUUACUCUUAAAACAUUCAAAAUUAGAAAAAAACUUUCAAGAUGAAAAAGUAGCGCAUUUUCAUAAGCUUUCCAACGCCAUAUCAUAUGCCUCCAUUGGAUUAGCCGUUUAGAAAUGACAUCAAAAAGACGAACUCAGCUGUUCGGUUUAUGAAAUUUUACAUUUUUUCAAAUUACUCUUUAACCAUAGGGAAUUAGAGAAAACUUUCAACAUGUGGAAGGAGCGGUUUUGCAGCAGCUUUCCAAUGCCAUAUUAUAUGCCUCAUUCCGACAAACGGUUUAGAAAUGCGAUCGAAAAUACGAUUCACGUUUUUUGUGCAAAAAAACGGUUUUCAAAACUGCUCUUAAACCCCUUAUAUUUUGCCAAAAAUUUAAGUUGGGUCAUGAUAUUGGAGUCCAUAGCUUUCCAACGGUAUAUCGCAAGCCCCAUUUGGGCAAUGUUGGCGGAAGUUCAACCUAGUUCACAGGGAAGUUCAACGUACUACUAGCGGGCAGGUCAGGUUGUGAUCAGAAUAGUGUUUAUGUGUGUGUGUGUGUGUGUAUAUAUAAUCGGUUCUACGAGAAAAUCUAUUUAUAUAUAUAUGCAUAACGUGUACAAUACGUAGUAUCAUAAAAUACCAGUAAACAAAAAAGAAUUAAAUGGAAAACACAAAAUUAAUGGAAAAAUAAAAAAUAAAACCAAAACCACCCCAAAUAUUUAGUGCCGGUUGGUGUUACCAAUCGGUACUAAUGUCCUACACGCACCCGGGCCUGGCUCAUGCCACAUGGUGGCACUUUAGCACCGGUUCGUGAUGAACCGGUACUAAAGGGGGGGGGGGCUUUAGUCCCCACUCUUUAGCGUCGGUUGUGGAACCGGCACUAAAGGACCUUACGAACCAGUGCUAAAGCCCGGUUCUGCACUAGUGGGGUUGAUGGGGAUGGAGCAUGCGCUGCUGGGAAGAGCCAGGCUCUAUUGUGGCCGCCUCCCGCUGCCGCUCACGUCGGGCCGCCUUCUCCUCCGACUUCGGCAUGUGCAUGUGCACGGGUGCCGCAGGCGCAAGCACCCAACGCUGUCCGGGUGGUGCUGGCGCCCGAGGGGCAGGGGAGACGCCCACCCCUGCGCCGUGUCUGGAGUGGCGCGGAGCGGGAUAGACAUGCACGUGACGAAUUUGGGAGGAAAUGAGGGGAUCAGAGAGAACGACUGAACUGAGAGGAGUGAGGGGUUUGAUUAGGGUCCGUCCGGAUUUUGUACCUUGCGCACCCACAACCCAAGGGGGGCGAAAACCAACUCCCCAGACCGCCCGAGUCGCUCCCCAGGCGACUCCGGGGGGGCAACCCCGCCGCCACCUAGAACUCCCCCACCGGUGCUCUCCCUCCGCCGCUGCCGCUGGCAUCUGCGCCAUGGUGGCGGCGGGCCCCUGCUGCCAAAUGGUGUCGGGGGUGAAUCCUUCUCGUGGUGGCGCUAGCGACUGCUAGUCUCGGCUAGGGACGGAGAUGGCGGCUCGUCGGCACGGGCAUGCCGGGGCGGCGGCCUCGGGGAUGUAGAGGAGCGGGUGUGAGGCGGCUUGCGGUUCCUGGUGUGGGGGCUACGGAAUGGCCCCAUUUUUGGGAUCCGACUGACCUAGAUCCGGUGGGGGCAGCGGCUUCCAAGGCAGGCCUCCACGCGUGGCGGGCUGGCUAGCGCGUGGCUGCACCGGCUGGCAUCUACGAGUCUGUGGUGGUGGCGGUGUGCCACGGAUCGAGGGCGGCUGUGUAGCGGCGACGCUCGAGGUGGUGUGCUGGUAGCGGCGACUUUGUCCGGAUCAGGCAUGACUAGUGGCGGAGGUUGCUGUGAUGCGAAAUGUGGCUCUUCAAGAUGUGGUGGUUGGUCUGCUCUUGCGGUUCCGAUGGGCACUGGGUUCUCCGAUCUGGGUUGGGAGAAAUCCCUGCUUCGAGACAAGGCUCACAAAGCGACGCGGGGUUCCCUCCCUGGAGGCGUUGUGUUGGACCCGAUGGGACUCCCUUCCUCGAGCUCCGGGGAAACCCUUGUCUUGGUCUGGCCUCCGGACCGGAUGGCGGUGGCGGCGUCAAGGCGUCGUUACCUUCUUGAAGGCGCCAUCUUGUUGCUCGAGGAGUCUCGUUAGUGUGGCUUGAGUCAGCCGGCUGCCACUCUGGGCAUGGGCCUCCUGGGCGCAAUGUAUGCCAUCUCUGGUGCUCUCAUGACGGUACCUUCCCUAGAUUUUCUCGGGCCUUGCCGUUCACUUGCCGACAUCCUCUUGGCACAAAUGGGUGGCGGUACGUUGGUUUGUGUUGGCCUUGGGUUUGGUCUUGUUGUAGAGGUCUCGGCGUUAGUUGUGAUGUGGCUUGGUUGCAAUGUGGCUUGCCUUUUGUCAUUGGCAUGAGGUUGGACAAGGGAAGCAUGUAUCAUAGUAGCCAGGGUGGGUGUGCGUGGUGGAUGUGGAGGCUAAUUCUCGUGAUUAGCAUUGUAAUGGCUGAAAGGCCUUGUAUCCGGCUUGUUUUCCGCUUCUUCUUUACUGCAACGAUACACACACUUGUGCGAUUCAAGAAAAAAAGAUUAGGGUUUGUCCAACAACGCACUUACAUUUUUCUUGGGGCAUCGGUGGGGGCAGUGGGCCCUAUGAAGAAGUUUGAGUGUGCGUGAACACGUAUGUGUGUAUGUGGGGGGUGGGGGGGGUCUGCUAAUGAAAUGAGACACCAUAGCCCCAUAAAAACCACUCUGGCUCUACUUUGAUUGCCACCCAAAAUAUGUGAUUGUGUUUGUGUGGCUGACCUUACAAGAACAUCUCAGUUUUCAAUUUUGGGGUCUCAGUCCUUUUUUUGUCAUAAAAUUACGUGGUAGUUUACGAACGAGGAUGGCGCUCUCCCCUGCCCCUCCUCCAUUCCCCUCCUCCGUUUCCCUCUACUCCUCUCCCCUCUCCCCUCUUCCCUCGCACCCCAGCCCCCUCCUUCUAUGGCCCCUCCCUAGUGCCCAGCGCACGGUCCCACUCUCCCCUGGCCGCAGCGGCCUCCUCCUAUGGGCCGCGUGGCAGCCGCUUUUGGGCGUUAGGGGAGGAUGGGUCGAACUCAGAUCUUAAUGAGCCCGUCUCACCAUAGCCUCUGGCUACUGGCUGCGGGGGGCUGCCUGCUCCGGUCGCUGUCGCUGAUUUGCCCCUGGUGGCUGUGGGGGUGCCUGGAGGGUGGCGUCCUUGUCCUUUCCUCCUCUUGUGGGCCGUGUGUAGGAGAUAUGACCUAGAGGCAAUAAUAAAUUUUAUUACUUAUCUCCAUGUUUGUAAUUAUGUUUAUAUCCCAUGCUAUAACUGCUAUGGUUCCCGAGCCCGUAUAUCCAUAAGGCUCUAAGAUAAACCCAUAUGCACGUGUGGAAUAAUAAACAAUAAAAAGUAUUCCUAGUCAAGCCUCUAAGACUGGCUUAAGUGUUGCAUGAUGAUCACGUUUUCCUGAUCAUGGGCAUGCCAACAACUUUGAGGACACAAUGUUAGAAGAACAUUGUGUUGAAUCGAACCGACUGAUGUUAUGCUAUGAGAUAUGUUCGUCACGAGUUAAUGGUAAAUAACACAAAGAAAGUUAACAUUUGCAUAAUUCCUUAGACCAUGAGAGUAUCGAGUUCCUUCAUGAUUGCUUCAUAAACUUUUGGUUUUGUUAAACAUCAUCCGUAAAAGGGUGGAUAUUACGGCGGCUUACAGGUUCAUGAAAAAGUAUGAUUUGAUCACAAGGAUGCUGGAACGCGGAUACGAGAAAAGAGAACAAAAUCGGUAACGAGGAAACUAGCAUAGCGGACCAAGUUGUUGAUCCACGGGGACACUGAUAAAUCUCACCUCCGGUGUUUUUGUAAAAUUUCACAACGCAACAGGAAUAGCACACGACAACUAAUGGUUCACUCGAAUAUUCAUUUGUGUGGGUAUAGGGAUCAAUAUGGAUGUCCACUGUUCUGCUAUUGAUCAUUGAUCGAAAAGAGUUCCGGUCAUCUCUAUACUUCACCGAACCUACAUGGUCACACACUUAAGGCUCACCUACCUGCUAAGUAGUAGACGGGGGUGUCAGAGAGAUUUUCUCGAAAAGUUUCGGAGACGACAGGAAAAGAUUCAGAGAGAAAAAUGGAAAUGUUUUGGGGUCACCUGUGACGCCCCGAGACCGUUGCGCCAGGUGUCUUCCAGUUAUUCGCUAUUGUUGCCUUGUCAUUCGCUUGUUGCAUCUUGUCAUGUCAUCAUGUGCAUUGCAUCAUCAUGUUUUCAAAACUUGCAUCUGUCCGGGUCCCCCCUAGUUCUCUCCGUUGUCUGUUCUGAGCCCAGAGACACUCGCACGCGCCCGCGGCACGUCCGAAAUAGUAUUUUAUAAGUGGACAAAAAAUGUUCUCGAAAUGGGAUGAAAGUUGGCGAGUGGUCUUAUUUUAGUGUAGGUAGACCUCCUGCCAAGUUUCAUCACAUUCGGAGUUCGUUUGAUGCCCCAACGGAUAACUGUAGCGGCAGUAUAGCCGGUCUUUUCGUUGGACGUUUUUGGUCUCCGGAAACCGUGCCGGGCCUCCCUCUUCUCUCUUUCCUCUCAACCCCCUAACCCCACCUAGGUCCAACCUAACCCCUCCUAACCACCUCACCCCUCCUUGCACAGUGCAUCGAGCCCCUUCGCGUGUGUGUCCGAAACUUCCCGGACCCACCCGGGCAGUCAUGACCGUUGGAUCCAGAUCAUCCCCAAACAUCCCUAAAUCAUCAUCGGUUUCUCGUUGGACUCUCCUAAGCUAAUUAUUGUCGACCGUCCGAUUAAAAUCAGAGGGACCAAAUGCCCCUAAAAUUAGCCCACUUGCUAUAUAUAGAUCAACCACUAGCCUAUUUUGCACAAACCCUAAAAUCUAGGGACUUUUUCCCAUCCACUCGUCGUCGCUGCCGCCACAUCCCCCACCUCGGGAUCCAUCCCCAUCCAAUCAGUGUGUGCGUCCCCGGUCCAAAAAUACUCUCGAUCUCUCCCCGCCAACCAACGCCUCCCCUGAUCCCCUCGUCCACCUCCCGCAGCCCCGAGCGCCCGAGGCCCCAACAGCCCGAGCACGGGCCAGCCACCGAAGCUCCUCCGCGGCCUCCUUCCUCGCCCGACGUCGCCGGCGACAAGCUCUCCGCCUCCGGCCUCGUCCCGCUCCUCUCCUCCUGUUUUCCCUCUCUCUCUCUCUCAUGGUGGCCCUCUCUCUCUCCUUCCCAGGAACAAGAAGGAGCUCGCCCAAGCUCCAUGGCGCCGCCGCCGUCGUCCUACUUCGUCCUGUGACCUCCGAGCAGCGCCACCCGCCGGAUCUGCUCGAGCUCUCCUCGCCCCUGCGUCUCAAGUACCGUGUCGUCAAGCCGCCUCCUUGCCCUCGAGUCUGUCCAGUUCCGCUGUCCGCCGUGGCCGUGGAGCUCGUCGGCGUCGUCCUCGUGCCGUCCCAGCCCCGUCGCCACUACUGCAAGACCCCGCCAUGGACACCGUCCACCGACGACCACCCAGGUCAUGUUGCCGUGACCUGCCUCCUCUGCAUCGCACUGGCGUGCCGUUGCCCUGCUUCUGCGUGCGAGCAUGCGAGGACGACGACCAACGCCAAGUCCUGCUUCUCCCGUUGACCGCUGUGCUAGGUCUAGCCGUGCCAAGCCCAGCUGGCCUGCCUUGGCCUCUCCAUCGACCCGGGCUUGGCCUGUGGUGAGCAGCCCAGCCACCCAGUGCUUUGUUUAGGCCCAGUUCUAGCAGAUUCGGCCCAUAGACAUUUUUUUUCCGUUCUGUGAAUUUACCAUUUUUCCUGUGCAUGCAUAAUUAUAGAAAAAUGCCCUUGUUUUAAAUUGUUAAUAACUCAUAAACCGUGCAUCGGAUUAAAAUCUUCUAUAUAUGUAAAAUGCUUAGAAUUUCAUCUAGUUUCAUAAUAUGCAUGUUUCAUCCAUGAUUUAAAAGUUUAAAUUUCUGUUUGCAUUAAUUUUGCAUAAUGCCAUGUUAAAAUGAUUUAUUUCAUAACUUAAUAACCGUAGCUCCAAAUUUAAUAAACUUUAUAUGUAAAUGGGGCAGAAAAAUGCAUAGAUUAACAUGGCGUACUUAAUUUGCAUGUUUAACAACUCUAAAAUUAUGUUUAGGGCUGAACAUUAGCUAAUUCGAAAUAUGCAUAUGAGGAUUUUCCGGAAUUGUUGUUGUUGUUUCCAGCCUCAUUUAAACUUGCUUAAAUGUGUAGUUUUCAUAUGCUUCACCUCUUGCCAUGUUUAACAAAAUUUAAUAUUGUUGGGUACAUAAACGAGAGAGAACUAAAUAAUUGAUGUGGUGUUUCGUCAAUACGCAACUCGUUGCAUAUUGAGCUCUACUUAAUUUGUAGUAUUGUUUGUGCACUUUGCCAUGCCAUGUUUCAUUAAAUCGGACAUGCAUCAUACUUGGUUGUGCAUCAUGCCAUGUUUAUGUGAUGGUUGUUUGCUAUGUUGCUUUCUUCUUUCUGGGUUGCUUCUCUCGUUAGCUUCGCUUUCGUUCCGGAGUUGUGAGGAUUCGUUUGACUACGUUGGUUCGUCUAUCUUGGACCCGUUCUUCUUUCUUGCGGGAUCUCAGGCAAGAUGACCAUACCCUCGAUAGCACUUAUAUAUUUUCUUGCUAGUUGUUCGCUCUAUAUCUAUGUCGCGCUACCUACCACAUGUCUAUCAAGCCUCCUAAUAGCCUCUAAACUUUUUCAACCCUCCUAGCAAACCAUUGUUUGGCUAAGUUACCGCUUUUUCUCAGCCCCUCUUAUAGCGUUGCUAGUUGCAGGUGAAGUUGAAGUUUGUUCCAUGUUGGAACAUGGAUAUGUUCGGAUAUCGCAUUAUCUCUUCUUUAAUUAAUGCAUCUAUAUACUUUGUAAAGGGUGGAAGGCUCUGCCUUAUGCCUGGUGUUUUGUUCCACUCUUGCCGCCCUAGUUUUGUCAUACCGGUGUUAUGUUCCUUGAUUUUGUGUUCCUAAUACGGUUGGGAUUAUGGGUCCCCCUUGACAGUUCGCCUUGAAUAAAACUCCUCCAGCAAGGCCCAAACUUGGUUUUACAUUUGCGUAACAACCUAAGCCUAUUUCUCUUGGGUUUUCGGAUCCCGAGGGUCAUCUUAUUUUACCCCCCGGGCCAGUGCUCCACUGAGUGUUGGUCCGAACUAGAGUCCUUUGCAGCGCCACCUCGGGGAAACUUGAGGGCUGGUUUUAAUUGUACGGAGUGCUCAUCCGGUGUGCCCUGAGAACGAGAUAUAUGCAGCUCUUAUCGGGAUUCGUCAGCACAUUCGGGCAGCUUUGUUGGUCUUGUUUUACCAUUGUCGAAAUGUCUUGUAACCGGGAUUCUGAGACUGAUCGGGUAUUCCCGGGAGAAGGAAUAUUCUUCGUUGACCGUGAGAGCUUGUGAUGGGCUAAGUUGGGACACCCCUGCAGGGUAUAAACUUGCAAAAGUCGUGCCUGUAGUUAUGAGGCAGAUGUGAAUUUGUUAAUGUGCGGUUGUAGAGAACUUGACACUUAACUUAAUUAAAAUGAAUCAACCACGUGUGUAGCCGUGAUGGCCUCUUUCCGACGGAGUCCGGGAAGUGAACACAGUCUUGGGUUAUGCUUGAACGUAAGUAGUUUCAGGAUCACUUCUUGAUCACUUCUAGCUUCAUGAUCGUUGCGUAGCUUCUCAUCUUACUCUUAUUUGCGUAUGUUAGCCACCAUAUUUGCUUAUCACUUGCUGCAGCUCCACCUCACUACCUUAUCCUACCCAUAAGCUUAAAUAGUCUUGAUCUCGUAGGUGUGAGAUUGCUGAGUCCUCUGACUCACGGAUACUACCAAAACAGAUGCAGCUGCCGAUGAUACCAGUGCAGCUGACGCAAUCGAGCUCAAGUGGGAGCUCAAUGAAGAUCUUGGUCAUUGUUAUGUGUCUUUUCCGGUUGAUCAGUAGUGGUGCCUAGUUGGGACGUUCAGGGAUCUAGCAUUUGGGGUUGUCUUCUUUUAUUUUGGUUCCGUAGUCGGACCUUGAUUGUACUCUGGAUGAUGUAUGUUUAACCUGUUAUUUGUGCGAAGUGGCGAUUGUAAGCCAACUCUUUAUCCCUUUAUUAUUCAGUACAUGGGAUUGUGUGAAGAUUACCCCUCUUGCGACAAAACCACCAUGCGGUUAUGCCUCUAAGUCGUGCCUCGACAUGUGGGGGAUAUAGCCGCAUCAUGGGCAUUACAAGUUGGUAAUCAGAGCCAUCCCCGACUUAGGAGCCCCUGCUUGAUCGAAUCGCUGACGUUGUUGAGUCUAGAACAAAAAUGUUUUGAGUCUUAAGAUUAUAUAUAUCGGAGAGUAGGAUUCUUUUUACUCCUCAGUCCCUUCGUCGCUCUGGUGAGGCCUCCUGACGUAGAUGUUUUGACUUUCCUCUCCUCAAAUUUCACUAAUUUUUUUAGGAUCACGCGGGUAUCUUGGGAUCGUUCAAUAUUCUUGUGACUAGAACAUUGUUCUCGGUGCCUCCUCACAUUUAGGGGUUGUGGCAGUGUCCCGGAGAGUUGAGCCCCGAGGUGUUGUCGUCACAAUUUUAUCGUUGCAGUUCUGGAAUACCUGAGUUCACCGACAUCGAAAAUCUCUUUUAUGCAGUUGUUGGUGAGAUAACCUAGACGCCACCCAGUACUGGGGUGGGAGUUCAGGAGUAUUGCCAUAACUCGUAUAACGGAUGCUUUCCGAAGGUUGAGGUACACGAUUUCCGAAGGUUUCUUGGUUAUGUGUUGACGGAUGGAUACAGCUGGAUGUAGGGAUUGUUUGUUUGGGUUAGAUAUUAUGCUUCCCCUGUAUCCCCAACACCAGAUUGCAUAACCCGAAAGUUUCGGGAGUUUAUAAGUGGGAAUUCAAGUAUCACAUUGGAUAUCCUUCCAACAGACACGUGAUACGAUAUGGGGUCUAUCAUAUGUUUGUUCCGGCUUAUCCUGCAAGCCGAAUCCUUUGUUUUGUUUUGAGUUGUGGUAUUCGAGUUGCUUCGAUGUCAAGUGUUGAUUCCAUACCUUUUGCAAGAGCUGUUCUCAUAUUUCUAUGUGCUUCUCUUUUCUACCGGUGUGCUUCUCUUCAAGUGGAUCCGGUCAUUUUCAACAUCCGCAAGAUCUUCUCACAGUUUUCCCAAUGUUGUUCAUUUCAUCCGUCCCCAAGUUGCCUUUGUUUUUCCCGCCCUCCCACCCUUUUCUGCAAGGACUCAGAUUUCCAAAUCAAGUAUCCAUCUUAUGGAUGUGAAGUUUUUUCAUUCCUUUCCUUCAAUGUUCUUAUCCGGUGAUUCUCAGGAAGAUACUAAGGAAGCUUCAAGUUCAUCAUUCAUCAUUCUUUUUCUUCUUCGGUGGAUUCAAUUCAAGCUUUGUCGAUCAUAUCCUUUCCUCGUUUCAAAUGUUUUCUCAUGCCGGUGCACCUCUUAAUCAUCCACUGCUCGCCAUUCAUUUGUUCUGGAGUACUGAAGAUAUCUCAGGUGUUUCGUGUUUUCAUUCCUAAUCCAUUCAAGCUAUUUCGAGGUUGGUAUCUCAUUCAAGCCAUUUAAUUCAACCGGCGCAAUCUCUCUUUUAAAUCGUUCAACAGUGUAUCUUUUGAGUGGGCCUUAACCCACAGGUGUUUUCCUAGGAUCUUACCUGACUCUUCUAACUUUUCCGGAGUUAUUCUCAAUUUCAUUUAAAAGUGUGAUAUAAGAAGGAAUUGAUGAAUUUUCAUCAGUCAUAUGUCUUUCUCUAAGAUCUUUCAAAUUCUUUCCAUCGUUGGUUCAACCUUUCUAUUAUUCAUUCCGGAGUGCCUCAAUAAUUGGUGGUGGUGUUUCUCAUCGUCAUUCUCUGCAUUUGAAGACCAAGGAAGAGUUCCUCUUAAAUCCUCACCUGUUCUUCCAAAGAUUCGUGGUUCUAUCCUUAUGCCAUCCUCUCAUAAUUGUUUUCGAUUGUGAGAAUUCUUUUCACCCAUCCGGAGCAAUUCGGUAGUCUUUUCAGUUUGAUUCUCCAGAGCCCAUCAUCUUAGAAUUAUUAUUCCAUCUUUCAGCUCUCGUUCUCCAAAUCUUACCAGCGCAUUACUCAAGUAUUCUCUAGUCAGCUCGUGAUCUCUUCGUUCUCUUGCAUCUAAAUUCACUCAAGUAUCUUCAUUCGUUUUCUAAUUCUUCCUGGUGUUUCGUUCUCUUUUCCUCAAUCAUAUUCAAUUCUUACGGUGGUUCAUCCAAAAUUCCUCUUCUGUUGUUAUCAUAUCAAUUCAUUCGUUCUUUCCAAAUCCUAUCGGUGGUUCGUUGACGACCUUCUUAAGUUAUCGAUAUCUCUCUCUUAAUCAUUUCUACGAGAAUAAGUUGUAUGCAAUCCGUUGCUUGUCAUCAAUUUAAAUUGGUGAAGGAUAUGUGUUGGGAAUAUAACUUUCAGGUAUUACCCGCCCAGGAGGGGCCGGGUCUACCCUAAUGGCGGGUUGUUAAGAGAAGCCCAGUAAUAUUCAAGGUGAUAGUUUAUUAAGAAUUGUAGAAGGCCUAAGCCAAGAGGCGGCUUAAGGCCCAAUAUUGUAAACCGCCAUAUGUGACGAAAGACUUGUAAAGAAAUGCAUAUACAAGAAGUCACCGAGCCGGACACGUUUAUGAGCCGGCCGGGACUCUGUAGGCCGCCAGGCGUCAACCCGUGUAUAUAAGGGGACGACCCGGUGGCGGCUUAGGGGGAAGAAUCAACAGAUCGAUAGCCAAGCUAGCGGAUUCGAAACCUAGCAAUACAACAUCAACAGGACUAGGCCUUAUCUUCACCAUAAGGGGACAAACCAAUAUAAACCUCUCGUGUCCUUUGUCCCGGUUAACCCCUUUAAGCUUCGCUAGGACAUCUGCCAUGACAAUUCCACGACAGUUGGCGCCCACCGUGGGGCCAGCGCAUGGUGGAUUUGAGUUCUUGAAGGGCAACUUCGAAGGGCUCAAGGGAUACGCUGUGGGCCGGAUGACCAAGAGUCAUCGCGGCAAGCUCUACAUCGACGACGAAGGCUGGGGCCCCGACGUCAGCUUAAUUGAGUACGGAUACCGGGUCCCCUUCGGCGGAAUCCACGUCUUCAUCGGCCGGAUCGGUGAGCCGGGCCCUGAGCCAGGCAUCUGCACCGACCACGUCGAGACGGCUCAGCGCGCUAGAUCUGCCUGGGCUCAACCCGCCAUGAGGCGUGCCUUCGUGGGUUGCAUCCAUGGAGGGGAAUUUUUUGAAGGAUCGGUGGACGGUGGUGAGACGGCCGUUUGUUCUGACGGUGAGUCGUCGACAGGCGAAACAGAUUCUUUGUAUCAGUUACAAGACGGCGGACUUGGGGGAUGUUCCGAUGGCAGCAGUAUUCCGGACCCCACUGAGCUGCCGAAUCGAGCCGGAGUCUUCAUGGCUGGCACUCAACCUGGUCAGAAUUCUACGGCUGCGGUAGCCAUAACCACAUGGUCUGCAGCGGCCGGGUCAGGAGACCCCAUGCACCCACCAGCUCAGGUAUUAAUGGACCUCAUGGAUAGGAUGACGGCCCUGUUGACUGUUGUGGUUGAGCCAGCGGAUAAGGCUCAGCAUGACACAGAAGUAGGACGGCUACGCGGAGAGGUAGCACAGGCCAAGGAAAAUUUAGCAACGAAAGAUGUCAGGAUGGCCGCAGAACGGGCGGGGCUCUGGAUGCACGUGCUCUGCAGCUUCAAGCAGAGACUUUCUAGCUCUCGGUGGAUCUGAACGCGUCAAACGAGGUCAUGAGGAGAAGACACCAGAAAACUCAAUCACGUCUGCCUCUGACUUACGAUCCUAGGAACCUUUUCCACAAACCUGGGGCCGGUCGCAGCAACCCGCCGAAGGCAAACCGGAUCACAACACCUGGGACGGGGGCGUCGGUUCAGCCGAGGGCCAUCGAACCACCCCAUGUGAAUACUGUGCCGCCUCAUUACACGCUAGUACCAUCGGGUCACUUCUCUAACCCUUUGGAGAAUUUAAUUGAUGCGUCGACUCGUCCGGCGGCUCUCCCAAUGGAAGGCGACUCUCCAACGGCGAUCGAAACACGAAGGGUCAGAGAACUUCUUCAGACAAUCCUGGCACAUCAGGAUGUGUACUCUUAUAGUCAAGACAGAAUCCAUUCGACCCCUCGCCCAAGCCGGAGCCCGAGCUAUAGCGGGCAUAUGGACUCAGCGGCUAUGUCAAGCAAUGCCCAACGCCGUAACCAGCCGCGCAAGCAUGACCCAGCGCAUGAUGGAGCCUUUAACUUGGUGGAUCAGGAGAGGAUCCGUCAGGAGGCUGAGCGGGCAGUUCAACUGGCAGCUGAGCAGGCGGCUCAUCAGGCUUUUCCGGUUUAUCCAGCAACCUUUGUUGAGGCAGGAGUGGCCACAAGAACAGGAGGUGUCCCUUGCCUGGUGCCGGCUCUACGUAAUGAGCGCUUGCCAAAAGAUUUUAAGGGGCCUCGUAAAGUGCCUAAUUACACGGCCGACUUGCAGCCUGGGGCAUGGAUUGAAAGUUAUGAGAUGGCGAUGGAGCUGUUGGAGGUCAGUGAUGCAACAAUGGCUAAAUAUUUCACUAUGAUGUUGGAUGGAACAGCUCGCACUUGGUUGAAAGGGUUGCCACCCAACUCCACUGGCUCAUGGGCGGAGUUAAAAGCCCGGUUCAUUCAGAACUUCAAGGACACAUGUAAGAAACCUGUGUCCAUCAUGGACUUGACUAACUGUAAGCAAGAGGAAGGUGAGUCCAUGACCCAUUGGGUGCGCCUGAUCAAGGAGAUAAUACAUUCAUCUGAUAAGAUGGAUGCCGGCUCUGCGGUCUUAAUGUUGGAGAAAAAUUGCCGUUUUAAACCUCUGAAGCAGAAGCUGGGGCGGCUCAAGCGUGAUUGUCAUGACAUGGGCCAGUUGAUGGUGGCUCUGGUCAAAUAUGCUGAUUCAGAUAGUACCAAGGAUCCCGCGUCUGAUGAAGAGAAGGCAGGGAAGGGAAAAAAGACCGGCAAUGGCAAGGGUCACCAACAUAACUUGGCAAAUCAAGGAGGUAAUAAACGUAAGGCUGGCGAGUUUGUGGCUAACACCGGUACACAUGGCAACAACCAACGGCGCAAGGGGAGUCCACCUCCUCGGUCCGGCGGGUCAGGUCCCACUCUUAAGCAACUACUGAACGAACCCUGUCCGAGACACAGCACCCGGGAGAAGCCAGCUACCCAUAUGUGGAAGGACUGUAUGAUCAUGAAGGCGUUUAAAAAUUCCAACAUGUUCGAUGGUAACCACGGACCUGGCGGCGGUUUUCAUGGCCCGAGCAUCGGCUCAGGCGGAGGAGGUUUUCACGGCCAGGGCCAUCCUGGUAACCAAGGUGGUUAUAAUCAGCAAUCCGGCCAAAGUAAUAAGCAGCAACAGCAACAGCAGUCCGGGUAUCAGAGUAACCCGAAACAGCUGACCAGUGGGCAGUACCACGUAUUUACCACUAGUUUGUGCAAGAGGGACCGGAAACUUGAUAAGAGGGCUGUAAACGUUGUUGAGCUGGCGGUUCCACGUUAUUUGAGAUGGUCAGAACAGCCUAUUGUGUGGAGUAGGGAGCAUCACCCUCCCCGGGUAGAUAAUCCGGGUCACUUGGCUUUGGUGGUGGCGCCUCAGGUUGGUGGAUAUAAGUUUACUAAGGUGCUCAUGGACAGAGGUAGUAGCAUCAACAUCCUCUAUUAUGAGACGUUUCAUUGCAUGGGGUUCACUAACAAGAGUCUUAAACAAUCCAACACUGUUUUUCAUGGUGUUAUACCUGGUAAGUCGGCAUACCCAGUUGGAAAGAUUGAGCUGGAAGUAGCCUUUGGGGAUGAAUACGAUUCUAGGGCUGAGAAGUUAACUUUUGAAGUGGUUAAGAUCAAAAGCCCAUAUCAUGCCAUAUUUGGACGGCCGGCCUAUGCCAAGUUCAUGGCCCGACCGUGUUAUGUAUAUCUACAGCUCAAGAUGUCGGGUUAUAAAGGCACCAUCACAGUACAUGGAAGCCAGAAAAUAGCCCUGGAAUGUGAAGAAGGUUAUGCUGCUUAUGCUGAGUCCGUUUGUGCAACAGAGGAAUUAAAGUUUUAUAAAGAUAAUGUUGACCCGGCAGACAUGACGUCUUUGAAAAAGCCAACUACGGAGCAUGAACCGGUGUUGAAAUUCAAAUCAUCUGAUGACACCAAGAUGGUUGAUUUUGUGCCUGGCGACUCAUCCAAACAGUUCAUUAUCAAUGCUAACUUGGAUCGAAAAUAGGAAAGCGCGCUCAUCGAGUUCAUCUGUGAGAACCGGGACAUCUUUGCAUGGAAGCCUUCUGAUAUGCCGGGUGUCCCGAGAGAACUUGCUGAGCACACUCUCAAUAUUGAUCCAAAAUUUAAGCCGGUCAGGCAGUUUCUUCGACGGUUUAACGACGAAAGGCGCAAGGCGAUUGGAGAAGAGGUGGUCCGGCUCUUGGCGGCCGGGAUCAUUGUUGAAGUUUUUCACCCGGAGUGGUUGGCUAACCCGGUGCUUGUACUAAAAAAGAACGACACCUAGCGUAUGUGUGUGGAUUACACCGAUUUAAACAAGGCUUGUCCGGCUAACCCUUUUGCUCUCCCUCAUAUUGAUCAGAUCAUUGAUGCUACGGCGGGUUGCGAGCAUUUGAGUUUUUUGGAUGCCUAUUCGGGUUAUCAUCAGAUCAACAUGGCAGUUAAGGACCAGGAGAAGACAGCUUUCAUCACUCCGUUUGGAGCCUUCUGCUAUGUGUCUAUGCCUUUUAGGCCUAAAAGUUCCCAGGCGACUUAUCAACGAUGUGUGCAGAAUUGCCUUCACAAUCAGAUUGGGCGGAAUGUUCAUGCUUAUGUGGAUGAUAUAGUGGUGAAAUCCAGAGAGAAGGAAACCUUGGUAACUGAUCUGAAGGAGACCUUUGAUAACCUCCGGGUCUACAAGAUGAUGCUUAACCCGGCCAAGUGUGUUUUUGGAGUCCCAGCUGGCAAACUCUUGGGUUUUUUGGUGUCUAACAAAGGUAUUGAGGCUAACUCGGAGAAAAUUAAGGCAAUAACAUCUCUGGCUAAACCGGCGUGCAUCAAUGACGUUCAGCGGUUGGCGGGUCGCAUCGCAGCCUUAAGCCGGUUCAUGAGCCGGUUAGGGUAGAAGGCGAUGCCUUUGUAUAAAAUGAUGAAUAAGGCAGAUGACUUUGUCUGGAGUGACGCUGCUAACUCUGCUUUUGAAAAUCUGAAGAAACAGCUCGCUGAGCCGUCGAUUCUUGCUGCUCCGAUUGAGAAAGAGUCGUUGUUGUUGUAUGUGGCUGCUAACUCACGUGCUGUCAGUGUGGCCAUUGUUGUGGAGCGCAAGGAGGCUGGCAAGAAACAUCCGGUCCAACGGUCGGUUUACUACGUCAGUGAGGUGCUCAUUGAAUCUAAACAAAGAUAUCUGCAUCAGCAGAAGCUUGUUUACGGGGUGUUCAUGUUGGGGAACGUAGUAAUUUCAAAAAAAUUCCUACGCACACGCAAGAUCAUGGUGAUGCAUAGCAACGAGAGGGGAGAGUGUGAUCUACGUACCCUUGUAGAACGACAACGGAAGCGUUUGGUUGAUGUAGUCGUACGUCUCCACGGCCCGACCGAUCAAGCAUCGAAACUACGGCACCUCCGAGUUCUAGCACACGUUCAGCUCGAUGACGAUCCCCGGACUCCGAUCCAGCAAAGAGUCGGGGAAGAGUUCCGUCAGCACGACGGCGUGGUGAUGAUCUUGAUGUACUACUAUCGCAGGCCUUCGCCUAAGCACCGCUAUAAUAUUAUCGAGGACUAUGGUGGCAGGGGGCGCCGCACACAGCUAAGAAUAUGAUCACGUGGAUCAACUUGUCUGUCUCUGGGGUGCCCCUGCCUCCGUAUAUAAAGGCUCAAGGGGGGGGGGUGCGGCCGGCCUAGGAGAGGCGCGCCAGGAGGAGUCCUACUCCCUCCGGGAGUAGGAUCCCCCCCCCCAAUCCUAGUUGGAAUAGGAUUUCGCGGAGGGGGGAAAAGAGAAAGGGGGGCCGGCCCCCUCUCCUUGAUCUAUUCGGACCAAGGGAGGGGAGGGGCGCGCGGCCCAUCUCAGGCUGCCUCUUCAAUUUUCCACUAAGGCCCACUAAGGCCCAUAUAGCUCCCGGGGGGUUCCGGUAACCUCCCGGUACUCCGGUAAAAUCCCGGUUUCACCCGGAACACUUCCGAUAUCCAAACAUAGGCUUCCAAUAUAUCAAUCUUUAUGUCUCGACCAUUUCGAGACUCCUCGUCAUGUCCGUGAUCACAUCUGGGACUCCGAACAACCUUCGGUACAUCAAAACGUAUAAACUCAUAAUAUAACUGUCAUCGAAACCUUAAGCGUGCGGACCCUACGGGUUCGAGAACAAUGUAGACAUGACCGAGACAUGUCUCCGGUCAAUAACCAAUAGCGGGACCUGGAUGCCCAUAUUGGCUCCUACAUAUUCUACGAAGAUCUUUAUCGGUCAGACCGCAUAACAACAUACGUUGUUCCCUUUGUCAUCGGUAUGUUACUUGCCCAAGAUUCGAUCGUCGGUAUCCAAUACCUAGUUCAAUCUCGUUACCGGCAAGUCUCUUUACUCGUUUCGUAAUACAUCAUCCCACAACUAACUCAUUAGUUGCAAUGCUUGCAAGGCUUAAGUGAUGUGCAUUACCGAGAGGGCCCAGAGAUACCUCUUCGACGAUCGGAGUGACAAAUCCUAAUCUCGAAAUACGUCAACCCAACAUGUAGCUUUGGAGACACCUGUAGAGCUCCUUUAUAAUCAUCCAGGUACGUUGUGACGUUUGGUAGCACACAAAGUGUUCCUCCGGCAAACGGGAGUUGCAUAAUCUCAUAGUCAUAGGAACAUGUAUAAGUCAUGAAGAAAGCAAUAGCAACAUACUAAACGAUCAAGUGCUAAGCUAAUGGAAUGGGUCAAGUCGAUCAGAUCAUUCAUCUAAUGAUGUGAUCCCAUUAAUCAAAUAACAACUCUUUGUUUAUGGUUAGGAAACAUAACCAUCUUUGAUUAAUGAGCUAGUCAAGUAGAGGCAUACUAGUGACACUCUGUUUGUCUAUGUAUUCACACAUGUAUUAUGUUUCCGGUUAAUACAAUUCUAGCAUGAAUAAUAAACAUUUAUCAUGGAAUAAGGAAAUAAAUAAUAACUUUAUUAUUGCCUCUAGUGCAUAUUUCUUCAGUCUCCCACUUGCACUAGAGUUAAUAAUCUAGAUCACAUCGCCAUGUGAUUAACAUCAAUAGUCCACAUCAUUAUGUGAUUAACACCCAUAGUUCACAUCGCCAUGUGACCAACACCCAAAGGGUUUACUAGAUUUAGUAAUCUAGUUCACAUCGCUAUGUGAUUAACACCCAAAGAGUACUAAGGUGUGAUCAUGUUUUUCUUGUGAGAGAAGUUUAAUCAACGGGUCUGCCAUAUUCAGAUCCGUAUGUAUUUUGCAAAUUUCUAUGUCAACAAUACUCUGCUCAGAGCUACUCUAGCUAAUUGCUCCCACUUUCAAUAUGUAUCUAGAUUGAGACUUAGAGUCAUCUAGAUUAGUGUCAAAACUUUCAUCGACGUAACCCUUUACGACGAACCUUUUUGUGACCUCCAUAAUCGAGAAACAUAUCCUUAUUCCACUAAGGAUAAUUGUGACCGCUGUCCAGUGAUCUACUCCUAGAUCACUAUUGUACUCCCUUGCCAAAAUCAGUGUAGAGUAUACAAUAGAUCUGGUACACAACAUGGCAUACUUUAUAGAACCUAUGGCCAAGGCAUAGGGAAUGACUUUCAUUCUCUUUCUAUCUUCUGUCGUGGUCGGGUUUUGAGUCUUACUCAAUUUCACAUCUUGCAACACAGGCAAGAACUCUUUCUUUGACUGUUCCAUUUUGAACUACUUCAAAAUCUUGUCAAGGUAUGUACUCAUUGAAAAAACUUAUCAAGCGUCUUGAUCUAUCUCUAUAGAUCUUGAUACUCAAUAUGUAAGCAGCUUCACCGAGGUCUUUCUUUAAAAAACUCCUUUCAGACACUCCUUUAUGCUUUGCAGAAUAAUUCUACAUUAUUUCCGAUCAACUAUAUGUCAUACAUAUACUUAUCAAAAAUGUUUUAGUGCUCCCACUCAAUUUCUUGUAAAUACAGGCUUCACCGCAAGUCUGUAUAAAACUAUAUGCUUUGAUCAACUUGUCAAAGCGUAUAUUCCAACCCCGAGAUGCUUGCACCAGUCCAUAGAUGGAUCGCUGGAGCUUGCAUAUUUUGUUAACACCUUUAGGAUUGACAGAACCUUCUAGUUGCAUCGUAUACAACUCUUCUUUAAUAAAUCCAUUAAGGAAUGCAGUUUUGUUUAUCCAUUUGCCAGAUUUCAUAAAAUGCGGCAAUUGCUAACAUGAUUUGAACAGACUUAAGCAUAGAUACGAGUGAGAAACUCUCAUCGUAGUCAACACCUUGAACUUGUCGAAAACCUUUUGCGACAAUUCUAGCUUUGUAGAUAGUAACACUACUAUCAGCGUCUGUCUUCCUCUUGAAGAUCCAUUUAUUUUCUAUGGCUUGCCGAUCAUCGGGCAAAUCCAUCAAAGUCCAUACUUUGUUCUCAUACAUGGAUCAUAUCUUAGAUUUCAUGGCCUCAAACCAUUUCGCGGAAUCUGGGCUCAUCAUCGCUUCCUCAUAGUUCGCAAGUUCGUCAUGGUCUGGUAACAUGACUUCUAGAACAGGAUUACUGUACCACUCUGGUGCGGAUCUCACUCUGGUUUACCUACGAGACUCGGUAGUAACUUGAUCUGAAGUUACAUGAUCAUCAUCAUUAGCUUCCUCAUUAAUUGGUGUAGUAGUCACAGGAACAGAUUUCUGUGAUGAACUACUUUCCAAUAAGGGAGAAGGUACAAUUACCUCAUCAAGUUCUACUUUCCUCCCACUCACUUCUUUCGAGAGAAACUCCUUCUCUAGAAAGGAUCCAUUCUUAGCAACGAAUGUCUUGCCUUCGGAUCUGUGAUAGAAGGUGUACCCAACAUUUUGGGUAUCCUAUGAAGACGCUCUUCUCUGAUUUGGGUUCAAGCUUAUCACGUUGAAACUUUUUCACAUAAGCAACGCAACCCAAACUUUAAGAAACGACAACUUUGGUUUCUUGCUAAACCAUAAUUCAUAUGGUGUCGUCUCAAUGGAUUUAGAUGGUGCCCUUUUUUAACGUGAAUGCAGCUGUCUCUAAUGCAUAACCCCAAAACGAUAGUGGUAAAUCGGUAAGAGACAUCAUAGAUUGCACCAAAUCUAAUAAAGUACAGUUACGAUGUUCGGACACACCAUUACACUGUGGUGUUCCAGGUGGCGUGAGUAGUGAAACUAUUUCACAUUGUUUUAACUGAAGACCAAACUCGUAACUCAAAUAUUCGUCUCCGCGAUCAGAUCGUAGAAACUUUCUUUUCUUGUCACGAUGAUUUUCCACUUCACUCUGAAAUUCUUUGAACUUUUCAAACAUUUCAGACUUAUGUUUCAUCAAGUAGAUAUACUCAUAUCUGCUUAAAUCAUCUGUGAAGGUCAGAAAAUAAUGAUACUUGUCGCGAGCUUUAAUAUUCAUCGGACCACAUACAUCAGUAUGUAUGAUUUCCAAUAAAUCUGUUGCUCGCUCCAUUGUUCCGGAGAACGGAUUUUUAGUCAUCUUGCCCAUGAGGCAUGGUUCGCAAGCAUCAAAUGAUUCAUAAUCAAGUGAUUCCAAAAUCCCAUCAGCAUGGAGUUUUUCAUGCGCUUUACACCAAUAUGACUUAAAUAGCAGUGCCACAAAUAAGUUGCUCUAUCAUUACUAACUUUGCAUCUUUUGGCUUCAAUAUUAUGAAUAUGUGUAUUAUUACGAUCGAGAUCCAACAAACCAUUUUCGUUGGUGUGUAUGACCAUAGAAGGUUCUAUUCAUGUAAACAGAACAACAAUUGUUCUCUAACUUAAAUGAAUAACCGUAUUGCAAUAAACAUGAUCAAAUCAUAUUUAUGCUCAACGCGAACACCAAAUAACACUUAUUUAGGUUCAACACUAAUCCCGAAAGUAUAGGGAGAGUGCGAUGAUGAUCAUAUCAAUCUUGGAACCACUUCCAACUCUCAUCGUCACUUCACCCUUAACUAGUCUCUGUUCAUUCUGCAACUCCUGUUUCGAGUUACUACUCUUAGCAACUGAACCAGUAUCAAAUACUGAGGGGUUGCUAUAAACACUAGUAAAGUACACAUCAAUAACAUGUAUAUCAAAUAUACUUUUGUUCACUUUGCCAUCCUUCUUAUCCACCAAAUACUUGGGGCAGUUCCGCUUCCAGUGACCAGUUCCUUUGCAGUAGAAGCACUUAGUCUCAGGCUUAGGACCAGACUUGGGCUUCUUCACUUGAGCAGCAACUUGCUUGCCGUUCUUCUUGAAGUUCCCCUUCUUCCCUUUGCCCUUUUCUUGAAACUAAUGGUCUUGUCUACCAUCAACACUUGAUGUUUUUCUUGAUUUCUACCUUCGUUAAUUUUAGCAUCACGAAGAUCUUGGGAAUCGUUUCCGUUAUCCCUUGCAUAUUAUAGUUCAUCACGAAGUUCUACUAACUUGGUGAUGGUGACUAGAGAAUUCUGUCAAUCACUAUUUUAUCUGGAAGAUUAACUCCCACUUGAUUCAAGCGAUUGUAGUACCCAGACAAUCUGAGCACAUGCUCACUAGUUGAGAGAUUCUCCUCCAUCUUUUAGCUAUAGAACUUGUUGAAGACUUCAUAUCUCUCAACUCAGGUAUUUGCUUGAAAUAUUAACUUCAACUCCUGGAACAUCUCAUAUGGUCCAUGACGUUCAAAACGUCUUUGAAUUCCCGAUUCUAAGUCGUUAAGCAUGGUGCACUAAACUAUCAAGUAGUCAUCAUAUUAAGCUAGCCAAACGUUCAUAACGUCUGCAUCUGCUCCUGCAAUAGGUCCGUCACCUAGCGGUGCAUCAAGGACACAAUUCUUCUGUGCAGCAAUGAGGAUAAACCUCAGAUCACGGAUCUAAUCUGCAUCAUUGCUACUAACAUCUUUCAACACAAUUUUCUCUAGGAACAUAUCAAAUAAACAUAUGAAAGCAACAACGCGAGCUAUUGAUCUACAAGAUAGAUAUGCUAAUACUACCAGGACUAAGUUCAUGAUAAAUUAAAGUUCAAUUAAUCAUAUUACUUAAGAACUCCCACUUAGAUAGACAUCCCUCUAAUCCUCUAAGUGAUCGCGUGAUCCAAAUCAACUAAACCAUGUCCGAUCAUCACGUGAGAUGGAGUAGUUUCAUUGGUGAACAUCACUAUGUUGAUCAUAUCUACUAUAUGAUUCACGCUCGACCUUUCGGUCUCCGUGUUCCGAGGCCAUAUCUGUAUAUGCUUGGCUCGUCAAGUAUAACCUGAGUAUUCCGCGUGUGCAACUGUUUUGCACCCGUUGUAUUUAAAUGUAGAGCCUAUCACACCCAAUCAUCACGUGGUGUCUCAGCACGAAGAACUUUUGCAACGGUGCAUACCCAGGGAGAACACUUCUUGAUAAUUAGUGAGAGAUCAUCUUAAAAUGCUACCAUUAAUUAAAGCAAGAUAAGAUGCAUAAAAGAUAAACAUCACAUGCAAUCAUAAUAUGUGACAUGAUAUGGCCAUCAUCAUCUUGUGCCUUUGAUCUCCAUCUCCAAAGCAUCAUCAUGAUCUCCAUCAUCACCGGCAUGACACCAUGAUCUCCAUCAUCUUGAUCUAUAUCAAUGUGUCGUCACAUGGUCGUCUCGCCAACAAUUGCUCUUGCAACUAUUGCUAUUGCAUAGAGAUAAAGUAAAGCAAUUAUUUGGCGCUUGCAUCUUAUGCAAUAGAGAGACAACCAUAAGGCUUCUGCCAGUUGCUGAUAACUUCAAUCAAAACAUGAUCAUCUCAUACAACAACUUAUAUCUCAUCACGUCUUGACCAUAUCACAUCACAACAUGCCCUGCAAAAACAAGUUAGACGUCCUCUACUUUGUUGUUGCAAGUUUUACGUGGCUGCUACUGGCUUAAGCAAGAACCAAUCUUACCUACACAUCAAAACCACAACGAUAGUUUGUCAAGUUGGUGCUGUUUUAACCUUCGCAAGGACCGGGCGUAGCCACACUCGGUUCAACUAAAGUUGGAGAAACUGACACCCGCCAGCCACCUGUGUGCAAAGCACGGUGGUAGAACCAGUCUCGCGUAAGUGUACGCGUAAUGUCGGUUCGGGCCGCUUCAUCCAACAAUACCGCCGAACCAAAGUAUGACAUGCUGGUAAGCAGUAUGACUUAUAUCGCCCACAACUCAAUUGUGUUCUACUCGUGCAUAUAACAUCAAACCAUAAAACCUAGGCUCGGAUGCCACUGUUGGGGAACGUAGUAAUUUCAAAAAAUUUCCUACGCACACGCAAGAUCAUGGUGAUGCAUAGCAAUGAGAGGGGAGAGUGUGAUCUACGUACCCUUGUAGAUCGACAACGGAAGCGUUUGGUUGAUGUAGUCGUACGUCUCCACGGCCCGACCGAUCAAGCACCGAAACUACGGCACCUCCGAGUUCUAGCACACGUUCAGCUCGAUGACGAUCCCCGGACUCCGAUCCAGCAAAGUGUCGGGGAAGAGUUCCGUCAGCACGACGGCGUGGUGACGAUCUUGAUGUACUACUCUCGCAGGGUUUCGCCUAAGCACCGCUACAAUAUUAUCGAGGACUAUGGUGGCAGGGGGCGCCGCACACGGCUAAGAAUAUGAUCACGUGGAUCAACUUGUCUGUCUCUUGGGUGCCCCUGCCUCCGUAUAUAAAGGCUCAAGGGGGGGGGGUGCGGACGGCCUAGGAGAGGCGCGCCAGGAGGAGUCCUACUCCCUCCGGGAGUAGGAUUCCCCCCCAAUCCUAGUUGGAAUAGGAUUUCACGGAGGGGGGGAAAAGAGAAAGGGGGCCCGGCCCCCUCUCCUUGUCCUAUUCGGACCAAGGGAGGGGAGGGGCACGCAGCCCAUCUCAGGCUGCCUCUUCUCUUUUCCACUAAGGCCCACUAAGGCCCAUAUAGCUCCCGGGGGGUUCCGGUAACCUCCCGGUACUCCGGUAAAAUCCCGAUUUCACCCGGAACACUUCCGAUAUCCAAACAUAGGCUUCCAAUAUAUCAAUCUUUAUGUCUCGACCAUUUCGAGACUCCUCGUCAUGUCCGUGAUCACAUCUGGGACUCCGAACAACCUUUGGUACAUCAAAACGUAUAAACUCAUAAUAUAACUGUCAUCGAAACCUUAAGCGUGCGGACCCUACGGGUUCGAGAACAAUGUAGACAUGACCGAGACAUGUCUCCGGUCAAUAACCAAUAGCGGGACCUAGAUGCCCAUAUUGGCUCCUACAUAUUCUACGAAGAUCUUUAUCGGUCAGACCGCAUAACAACAUACGUUGUUCCCUUUGUCAUCGGUAUGUUACUUGCCCAAGAUUCGAUCGUCGGUAUCCAAUACCUAGUUCAAUCUCGUUACUGGCAAGUCUCUUUACUCGUUCCGUAAUACAUCAUCCCGCAACUAACUCAUUAGUUGCAAUGCUUGCAAGGCUUAAGUGAUGUGCAUUACCGAGAGGGCCCAGAGAUACCUCUCCGACGAUCGGAGUGACAAAUCCUAAUCUCGAAAUACGUCAACCCAACAUGUACCUUUGGAGACACCUGUAGAGCUCCUUUAUAAUCACCUAGUUACGUUGUGACGUUUGGUAGCACACAAAGUGUUCCUCCGGCAAACGGGAGUUGCAUAAUCUCAUAGUCAUAGGAACAUGUAUAAGUCAUGAAGAAAGCAAUAGCAACAUACUAAACGGUCAAGUGCUAAGCUAACGGAAUGGGUCAAGUCAAUCCGAUCAUUCAUCUAAUGAUUUGAUCACAUUAAUCAAAUAACAACUCUUUGUCUAUGGUUAGGAAACAUAACCAUCUUUGAUUAAUGAGCUAGUCAAGUAGAGGCAUACUAGUGACACUCUGUUUGUCUAUGUAUUCACACAUGUAUUAUGUUUCCGGUUAAUACAAUUCUAGCAUGAAUAAUAAACAUUUAUCAUGAAAUAAGGAAAUAAAUAAUAACUUUAUUAUUGCCUCUAGGGCAUAUUUCGUUCAGUUCAUGGCAAGCCGGAAGCUCAAGCAUUACUUUCAGGGUCACCCAAUCACUUUGGUUAGCUCUUCUCCUCUAGGAGACAUUAUUCAAAAUAGAGAAGCCACAAGAUGAGUCGCUAAGUGGGCUAUUGAACUUGGGUCUCAUAGUUUGAAGUAUGUGCCACGUACUGCAAUCAAAUCUCAAGCACUGGUUGACUUCAUUAAUGACUGGACAGAGUUGCAGAUGCCAGAGGAGAAACAAGACACCACAUAUUGGACAGUUCAUUUUGAUGAGUCCAGACAUGGUUGUCCUCGUGGUGAUCUCCAUCUCCACACCACGGUGUCAACCGCCAAGUGUUACAUAAGGUACUACGCUAUGAAAAACUAAUAGCUACUGAAAGUAAAUUACAUUACAUGGCUUCUCAUGUUGACACACAGGUCAUUAAUACAAUAAUGGGACAACCAUGUGGCUCCUGCCGGUUGCCGCACUCAUGACACGCAGGUCAUGAAACAAUAAUAUACAAGCAACAUACAUGGGCUAUACCAAAUCACAGUCAUUCCCUGCAAAAACGAGUCAGACGUUCUACCGCCGAAGAUAAAACCUCCUAAAACUCUAUCUUCCAAGCGGAUUUUGGCCUAUCCAGAAGCGCCGAAAUCCUGUUCUAGUAUUUUGCCGCUAAUCCAACUUUUUGUUAGCUUCAGUUUGAUAGGUCGUGGAGCAAAAUCGGAGUUCGUAUGCAAGAGUUACAGCCGUUUUACCGAGACCGCUCCAACAGAUUUCAGCACCGUAGAAAUCACAUUUCCAAGGUGUUGAUCUAUGUUCCGAUUCGAUCAAUCUCAUUGAUCUUCGCGUGCUGCAUCCGGAUUUAAGUUCCACUAUCUACCCCGAUGGCGGAAGCCGACCGGUAGGGGUAAUUCAUGUCACGACCUCUGCGUCACGAUCACGGAAACAAGAUCACGAAACCAACCUUCAACACUGACAUGUGCGACAGUUCUCAUCGACCCGCACUUGAACCGAUCAACUAUCUCAUAUGCAUAUCACCGAAUCUAUCACCACACAGCGGAGGCUCUGGUACCACUGUUGGAACACGCGGUACGCUACGCUAGAGCCAAAUAAAAUUUUCUACCGCGCACCCAAGAUCAUGCUGCUGGAAAUAAAUCACCGGAUCGGGUGUACCACUAGACAUGCAGUCACCGCAGCGGAAGUAGAGUUGGUGAUGCGUGUAGACGAUCUCCCGGGCCGUCUCCUCCUCGCGUUGCCGAUCUCCCGCGAAUAGCGAAGACCCGCGAACGGUGAUCUCCCACGAAUGGCACCUCGCGGUUCCCUCGAAUGGUUCGUCCAAGCACCACAGAUGCGAUGCCCCCAAGGUAUCCACACGUACGGGGAGCAGCGUCGAGCGGCAGAAUGAUAGGUCCGGUCGCGCGGCAUGGGCGUGGUAGUGGCGGUGGCUUACCAGGGUUCAAAAUGGAUCAACCCUAAGUGCUGUGCCCACUCCCCUUUAUAUAGACCUCCGAGAUGGGCUUAACACUUGAGCCCACUAGGAGUCCACAUCCAUUUUCCACCCGGAUCCAAUCUGAAUGGGCUGCAACCCUUUAAGUGUGUGACCCUAUAGGUUCACGUACACACGGACAUGACCAGAGUCGAUAGUUGGUAGCGGCUCCUAGCAGAACGUGCCAACUCCCAUGUGGGCAUAAAGUUGUUUGACGAACCUCAACAAUGUGGCAUAUGCAACAUUCCUUUUGCCUCACGAUAUUUGUUGUCGAGCUCAAGGCGAGUACUUGUCACCCUUGUGAUAGCUCGACCUCUCUUCUCGAAACCAUGAUACAGAUUCCCGAACUGGGUUAAGACUUAACCCAAGUCGCAUGGCCAUGCUUUCCGAAUCUGAUCACUCGAGAUGGCCCAGAGAAUAUCUCUCCAAAUAGGAGGGGCAAAUCCCAUCUUGGUCAACCAUGUCUCGCGGCAUGUCUCACGACUCACCCGAAAGCUACCUUAUAACUACCCAGUUACGGAGUAGUGUUUGAUAGACCCUAAGUGAGUCGAUCCUCAUCCCGAGAACAUGCGAGGACCUUAGGUCUAGGACAUGGCAUAGACAUUGCACUUGAGUCUAAAAGAUGACUAUAUCUCACUGCGUCUCAAAGUGGGUCUGCCGGCUCGGUGAUCUCCAUCCUCGAGCCCAUACUAUCGGUUUAGCGUCUCCAUGCACAUGACUUGUGAAACAUAGUCAUCAACCGAGUCGUAUACUGGUCAAGGAUAUGUGUCCGCACAACCUUAUCAACUAGGGACCAUUAGAAGAAUCAUCAUACAAUACAUAGUUCCACAAACAAGUCACAUACUUAUUGAUACAUAUCAUUGAUGAUGUUCGAGGACAAUACAAAGGACUCAUGAAUACAUAUGGAAAUGUCAUAAUCACAUGAUUGCCUCUAGGGCAUAUCUCCAACAUCCCCAACACACCCAAUACAAUGGUAAAUUUUAUAGGUGCACUAGUUCGGCGAAGAGAUGGUGAUACAAGUGCAAUAUGGAUAGUAGGUAAUGGUUUUUGUAAUCUGAAAAUAUAAAAACAGAAAGGUAACUAAUGAUAAAAUUGACCACAAACGGUAUUGAAAUGCUAGGAAAGAAGGCCUAGGGUUCAUACUUUCACUAGUGCAAGUUCUCUCAACAAUAAUAACAUAAUUCGAUCAUAUAACUAUCCCUCAACAUGCAACAAAGAGUCACUCGAAAGUCACUAAUAGCGGAGAACAAACGAAGAGAUUAUGGUAGGAUACGAAACUACCUCAAAGUUAUCCUUUCUGAUUGAUCUAUUCAAGAGUCCAUAGUAAAAUAACAUGAAGCUAUUCUUUCUGUUCAAUAUAUCAUAGAGUUAGUACUAGAAUAACACCUUAAGACACAAAUCAACCAAAACCCUAAUGUCACCUAGAUACUCCAAUGUCACCUCCAGUAUCCGUGGGUAUGAUUAUACGAUAUGGAUCACACAAUCUCAGAUUCAUCUAUUCAACCAACACAAAGAACUUGAAAGAGUUCCCCAAAGUUUCUACCGGAGAGUCAAGAUGAAAACGUGUUUCAACCCCUAUCCAUAAGUUCACGAGGUCACGGAACUCGCAAGUUGAUCACCAAAACAUACAUCAAGUGGAUCACGUGAUAUCCCAUUGUCACCACAGAUAAGCACAUGCAAGACAUACAUCAAGUGUUCUCAAAUCCUUAAAGACCCAGUCCGAUAAGAUAACUUCAAAGGGAAAUCUAAAUUCAUCACAAGAGAGUAUAGGGGGAGAAACAUCAUAAGAUCCAAAUAUAAUAGCAAAGCUCGCUAUACAUCAAGAUCGUACCACCUCAAGAACACGAGAGAGAGAGAUCAAAAACAUAGCUAUUGGUACAUACCCUCAGCCCCGAGGGAGAAGUACUCCCUCCUCGUCACGGAGAGCACCGGGAUGAUGCAGAUGGCCACCGAAGAGGGAUUCCCCCCUCCGGCAGGGUGACAGAACGGGUCUAGAUUGGUUUUCGGUGGCUACGGAGGCUUCUGGUGGCGGAAAUCCCGAUCUAUUCUGCUCCACGAAGUUUUUAGGGUAUAUGGACAUAUAUAGGCGAAAGAAGUCGGUCAGGGGAGCCACGAGGGGCCCACGAGGGUGGGGGCGCGCCCAGGGGGCAGGCACGCCUCCCUGCCUCAUGGCUACCUCAAAGCUUCCUUGACUUCAACUCCAAGUUUCCUAGAUCACGAUUGUUCCAAAAAUAACGCUCCCCAAGGUUUCAUUCCGUUUGGACUAAGUUUGAUAUUCCUUUUAUGUGAAACACUGAAACAAGGGAAAACAGAAACUGGCACUGGGCUCUGGGUUAAUAGGUUAGUCCCAAAAAUAAUAUAAAAGUGUUUAAUUAGGCCCAUAAACAUCCAAAACAGAUAAUAUAAUAGCAGGGAACAAUCAAAAAUUAUAGAUAUGUUGGAGACGUAUCAUGGCCGUGGAGCUCGUCGGCGUCGUCCUCGUGUCGUCCCAGCCCCGUCGCCGCUACCGCAAGACCCCGCCAUGGACACCGUCCGCCGAUGACCACCUAGGUCAUGUCGCCGUGACCUGCCUCCUCUGCAUCGCGCUGGCGCACCGUUCCCCUUCUUCUGCAUGCGAGCAUGCGAGGACGACGACCAGCGCCAAGUCCCUCUUCUCCCGUUGAUCGCUGCGCAGGCCUAACCACGCCAAGCCCAGCCGGACUGCAAAUUUAUCAUUUUUCCUAUGCAUGCAUAAUUACAGAAAAAUGCCCUUGUUUCAAAUUGUUAAUAUCUCACAAACCGUGCAUCAGAUUAAAAUGAUCUAUAUAUGUAAAAUUCUUAGAAUAUCAUCUAGUUUCAUAAUGGGCAUGUUUCAUCCAUGUUUGAAAUGUUUAUAUUGCUGUUUGCAUUAAUUUUGCAUAAUGCCAUCUUAAAAUGAUUUAUUUCAUAACUUAAUAACCGUACCUCCAAAUUUAAUAAACUUUAUAUGUAAAUGGGCAGAAAAAUGCAUAGAUUAACAUGGUGUACUUAAUUUGCAUGUUUAACAACUAUAAAAUUAUGUUUAGGGCAGAACAGUAGCUAAUUCGAAAUAUGCAUAUGAGGAUUUUCCGGAAUUGUUGUUGUUGUUGUUGUUUCCGGCCUCAUUUAAACUUGCUUAAAUGUGUAGUUUUCAUAUGAUUCACCUCUUGCCAUGUUUAAUAAAAAUUUAUAUUGUUGGGUACAUAAACGAGAGAGAACUAAAUAAUUGAUGUGGUGUUUCGUCAAUACGCAACUCGUUGCAUAUUGAGCCCCACUUAAUUUGUAGUAUUGUUUGUGCACUUUGCCAUGCCAUGUUUCAUUAAAUCGAACAUGCAUCAUACUUGGUUGUGCAUCAUGUCAUGUCUAUGUGAUGGUUGUUUACUAUGUUGCUUGCUUCUUUCCGGGUUGCUUUUCUCGUUAGCUUUGGUUUCGUUCCAGAGUUGUGAGGAUUCAUUCGACUAUGUUGGUUCGUCUACUUCUUGGACUCGUUCUUCUUCCUUGCGGGAUCUCAAUCAAGAUGACCAUACCCUCGAUAUCACUUCUAUCUUUGCUUGCUAGUUGUUCGCUCUAUCGCUAUGUCGCGCUACCUACCACUUGUCUAUCAAGCCUCCUAAAUUGCCAUGAUAGCCUCUAACCUUUUUCAACCCUCCUAGCAAACCGUUGUUUGGCUAAGUUAUCGCUUUUGCUCAGCCCCUCUUAUAGCGUUGCUAGUUGCAGGUGAAGUUGAAGUUUGUUCCAUGUUGGAACAUGGAUAUGUUGGGAUAUCACAUUAUCUCUUAUUUAAUUAAUGCAUCUAUAUACUUGGUAAAGGGUGGAAGGCUCGACCUUAUGCCUGGUGUUUUGUUCCACUCUUGACGCCCUAGUUUCCGUCAUACCGGUGUUAUGUUCCUUGAUUUUGCAUUCCUAACACGGUUGGGGUUAUGGGACCCCCUUGACUGUUCGCCUUGAAUAAAACUCCUCCAGCAAGGCCCAACCUUGGUUUUACAUUUUCCUAACAACAUAAGCCUGUUUCCCUUGGGUUUCCGGAGCCCGAGGGUCAUCUUAUUUUAUCCCCCCCCCGUGCUAGUGCUCCUCAGGGUGUUGGUCUGAACUAGAGUCCUUUGCAGUGCCACCUCGGGGAAACUUGAGGGCUGGUUUUAGUUGUACGGAGUGCUCAUCCGGUGUGCCCUGAGAACGAGAUAUGUGCAGCUCCUAUCGGGAUUUUCGGCACAUUCAGGCGGCUUUACUGCUCUUGUUUUACCAUUGUCGAAAUGUGUUGUAAUCGGGAUUCCGAGACUGAUCGGGUCUUCCCGGGAGAAGGAAUAUCCUUCGUUGACCGUGAGAGCUUGUGAUGGGCUAAGUUGGGACACCCCUGCAGGUUAUAAAAUUUCGAAAGCCGUGCCCGCGGUUAUGAGUCAGAUGGGAAUUUGUUAAUUUCCGGUUGUAGAGAACUUGACACUUAACUUAAUUAAAAUGAAUCAACCGCGUGUGUAGCCGUGAUGGUCUCUUUCCGGCGGAGUCCAGGAAGUGAACACGGUCUUUGGUUAUGCUUGAACGUAAGUAGUUUCAGGAUCACUUCUUGAUCACUUCUAGCUUCACGACCAUUGCGUAGCUUCCCAUCUUACUCUUAUUUGCGUAUGUUAGCCACCAUAUUUGCUUAUCACUUGCUGCAGCUCCACCUCACUACCUUAUCCUACCCAUAAGCUUAGAUAAUAUUGAUCUCGCGGGUGUGAUAUUGCUGAGUCCUCGUGACUCACGGAUACUACCAAAACAGAUGCAUGUGCCGAUGAUACCAGUGUAGGUGAUGCAAUCGAGCUCAAGUGGGAGCUCGAUGAAGAUCUUGGUCAGUGUUAUGUGUAUUUUCCGGUUGAUCAGUAGUGGUGCCCAGUUGGGAUGAUCGGGGAUCUAGCAUUUGGGGUUGUCUUCUUUUAUUUUGGUUCCGUAGUCCGACCUUGAUUGUACUCUGGAUGAUGUAUGUUUAACCUGUUAUUUAUGUGAAUUGGAAAUUGUAAGCCAACUCUUUAUCCCUUUAGUAUUUAGUACAUGGGAUUGUGUGAAGAUUACCCCCUUGCGACAAAACCACCAUGUGGGUAUGCCUCUAAGUCGUGCCUUGACACGUGGGAGAUAUAGCCGCAUCGUGGGAAUUACAUCACCGGAAGUGUCUCAGAGAUAAAAACAUCUUAUCGGAAGUGUUCUGGAACGCAUUGAUACAUCUCCAUCGUAUCUAAUUUUCCAAACUCUUUUGCCCAUGUUUUGGACUCUAGUUUGCAUGAUAUGAAUGGAACUAACCCGGACUGACGAUGUUUUCAGCAGAAUUGCCUUGGCGUUAUUUUUGUGCAGAAAUAGAAGUUCUUGGAAUGACCUGGAAAUUUAUGUAGAAUAUUCUUGGAAUAAAUAAAAAAUAUUGGCGAAAGAAUCAACCAGAGGGGACCCACCUGCUAUCCACAAGGGUGGGGGCAUGCCCCCCUAGGGCGUGCUCCCCUACCUUGUGGGUCCCCUGGAUCUCCACCGACCUCAACUCCAACUCCAUAUAUUCACGUUUGGGGAGAGAAAAAUAAGAGAGAAGGAUUCAUCGCAUUUUAUGAUACGGAGCCGCCGCCACCUACUGUUCUUCAUCGGGAGGGCAGAUCUGGAGUCCGUUCGGGGAUCCGGAGAGGGGAAAUCAUUGACAUCAUCAUCACCAACCUUCCUCCAUCCCCAAUUUCAUGAUGCUUACCAUCGCGCGUGAGUAAUUCCAUCGUAGGCUUGCUGGACGUUGAUGGGUUGGAUGAUAUUUAUCAUGUAAUUGAGUUAGUUUUGUUAGGUUUGGUCCCUAGUAUCCACUAUAUUCUGAGAUAUAUAUUGCUAUGAACUUUCUAUGCUUAAUGCUUGUCACUAGGGCUCGAGUGCCAUGAUUUCAGAUCUGAACCUAUUAUGUUUUCAUGAAUAUAUUUGUGUUCCUGAUCAUAUCUUGCAAGUUGUAGACACCUAUUACGAGUUAUGAUCCGCAUACCCCAAGGUGACAAUAAUUGGGAUUCUUUCCGAUGAUUACCAUAGUUUGAGGAGUUCAUCUAUUCACUAAGUGCUAAUGCUUUGGUCCGGUUCUCUAUUAAAAAGAGAUCUUGAUACGUCUCCGUCAUAUCUACUUUUCCAAACACUUUUGCCCUUGUUUUGGACUCUAACUUGCAUGAUGUGAAUGGAACUAACCUAGACCGACGCUGUUUUCAGCAGAAUUAUCAUGGUGUUAUUUUUGUGCAGAAAUAAAAGUUCUUGGAAUGACCUGAAAAUCACCGGAGAAUUAUUUUGGAAUAUAUAAAAAAUACUGGAAGGAAGAUCCACGUCAGGGGGGCCUCCACCUGUCCACGAGGGUGGGGGGCGCGCCCUACCCCCCUGGGCGCGCCCCCUGCCUCGUGGGCCCCCUAACGCUCCACCGACCUCAACCCUGACUCCAUAUAUUCACAUCUGGGGAGAAAAAAACUAGGGGGAAGGAUUCAUCGCAUUUUAAGAUACGGAGCCGCCGCCAAGCCCUAAACUCUCUCGGGAGGCCUGAUUUGGAGUCAGUUCGGGGCUCCGGAGAGGGGAAUUCGUUGCCAUCAUCAUCAUCAACCAUCCUCCAUCACCAAUUUCAUGAUGCUCACCGCCGUGUGUGAGUAAUUCCAUCGUAGGCUUGCUGGACGGUGAUGGGUUGGAUGAGAUUUAUCAUGUAAUUGAGUUAGUUUUGUUAGGGUUUGAUCCCUAGUAUAAACUAUGUUCUAAGAUUGAUGUUGCUAUGACUUUGCUAUGCUUAAUGCUUGUCACCAGGGCCCGAGUGCCAUGAUUUCAGAUCUGAACCUAUUAUGUUUUCAUCAAUAUAUGAGAGUUCUUGAUCCUAUCUUGCAAGUCUAUAGUCACCUACUAUGUGUUAUGAUCCGGCAACCCCUGAAUGACAAUAGUCGGGACCACUCCCGGUGAUGACCGUAGUUUGAGGAGUUCAUGUAUUCACUAUGUGUUAAUGCUUUGUUCCGGUACUCUAUUAAAAGGAGGCCUUAAUAUCCCUUAGUUUCCAAUAGGACCACGCUACCAUGGGAGGGUAGGGAAAAAGAUGUCAUGCAAGUUUUUUCCAUAAGCACGUAUGACUAUAUUCGGAAUACAUGCCUACAUUACAUUGAUGAAUUGGAGCUAGUUCUAUGUCACCCAAGGUUAUGACUGUUACAUGAUCGACCGCAUCCGGCAUAAUUCUCUAUCACCGAUCCAUUGCCUACGAGCUUUCCAUAUAUUGUUCUUCGCUUAUUUACUUUUCAGGUGCUAUUGUUAUCAUCACUACAAAACACCAAAAAUAUUACUUUUGUUACCGUUACCUUUUACCACCAUUACCACUACUAGUAGACUGCCCGUGCGUUGCCACAGGCAUUUGAAUUUGUAUUGGUUGGAUGUAAAAUUUUACAUACAUAGAAAGAUAGGCAAUAGCAAAUAAAAGAAUAAUUGAAAUCUAAUUCGCUUGCAAUGUACUUCGAUAAAAAAGUAAUUCGACCCUAUACACCUGAUGCACAAAAUAAAGAAGGUGGUACACAAACAUUGAACUAUUUGUUCUGCAAUGCAUUACAAAUGAUAAUAACAAUUUAAUGCCUUUUUUAGUUCUUAAAAUCGAUUGCCUCAUGAAAGCAUGUGCAUUGUUAUUAUCCAUUGAUUAAAAACAACACAUGAAGGAUUUUUUCCUUUAAACAAAUGUUCCAAGAUGUUACAACCAGAAACUUAAUUGCAAUACGCAAUUGCCUGGCAAACUAUUACAUAAUAUGGAUUUAGGGGCUUGAAACCAUACAAUUUACCAUUUAGAAAGUACUACAGAAAAACACAACUUCUAGAACAUGCUACUCCUACCUCUCUUGUGACAGGUAGACAUAUCAAUCUUUGAUAACAUUUUUUGUUUAAAACUUUAUUGGCAUUUAUUUGUAUUUUUAUAACAAUUUUUCAAUUUUAUUUGAGUUAUGUAACUUCAUAUUUGGUGUACCGGCUCAAAAGGAUUUUCACAUAAAACUCAAAAGGAAAUGGGUGUGUUGUAAUAGGAGCUAUGCCAUACAAGGGAAGUGAGCAACUCCUAUUCAAACACCAACCAACUCAAGAGAAACCCUACUUAGACAUACACUCAGACAUUAACAUCAAAUAUAAGAGUGAAAGGGUGGAUGGCAUGCAACAUCAAUUGCGAAUAAAAAGGCUAAAACUUUCCCAGAAAAUAUACUCCCUCCAUUCCUAAAUUUAAGUAUUUUUAGAGAUUCGAAUACGACAUAUGAAUGUAUAUAUAUACAUGUUUUAGAAUAUAGAGUUCACUAAUUUUGCUUUGUAUGUAGUCCACAUUGAAAUCUCCAAAAAGACUUAUAUUCAGGAACGGAGGGAGUAGGUCACAACUCACAAAUUCACAACAUACUUUCUCCUUGUAUUAGCACAAAAGUCAAAUAAUGGACAGUAGGACUGAUGAGAAGGUAUAUAAUAUUAGUCUUAUCGGUUGUUCAUUAUUCUACGAGAGAGAGAGAGAGAGAGAGUCGACACCCCCAAUUGUCUCUGUAUGUCUAGGCUAUCGGAAAACCCAUUCCAUAUGUGAGAAGGAAAUAGGUAAGGACAUCUAUAGACAGCAUGCUAGAUCCGGCAAAGAAACACAGUUUUCUAAAAUAUUACAAAGCAUCCCAAUGAUUUGAUGUUAUGAAUUGCUAUGAACUUAAAUGCUUAAUACAAUCAACAGAAAAGAUAGCAGCAUGCUUCUCCAUUUUGAGCCAGUCCACCUAUUAAGGACUUCUUGAUUAAAACCUGCAAUCAUUCUAUAUAGCCUGCAAAAUAGGAGGUAAAUAUAAGAAAAUAAUGUACAGAUAAUAAUUUUAGAAAUAUUAAGGGAAAACAUUUUAGGGUAUGAAAGAAAAUCAUCCGCACAAACCACAAGGUCUUUAGCUUGAUAACAACAAAGUUCAAACAAUCAGACGUAACACAUGAGGCAGAAGUCUUUCAUGAUAAAUUGGUAGUGGCUCGCCUCUGCUCGAUGUCAUCCUCCGUCUUUGUUGUGUUGCUCCUUUUGAGUGUUGCUUCUACCGCUGUCCACUUGGUGAGCGCACUACUGACCCAUCCUCACAAAUAGAGCAAAGUUUCAGAGCCCAAAGUUUGAUGAUGUUGAUUGGAUGCGCUUGGCAUUCAUGAACCUAUGCUAAUGAACAAAAUCUGACAUUUGUAAAUUUUAUCAAAAUAUGGAGGAUGCAACUACAGAGAUAAAAUUAUAAAUUAUUUCAAUUAACUAAUAAUUUAAAGCAAGCAUGUUCAUAAUAUAGCAAGGCGGGUCAUCCAAUGUUAAUUGUGCCAAGAACUUAAUUUUUUUUCAAUCAGACAUUGAUUUUCCUUAGAUGAAAUUGUCUCUGGUGUGUAUGAAGCAUGAAUAAAUCAAUUUAAAAUGGAACAAAUACACAAUCAAGGAUUCCAGUCAAAAAUAUUCCACAUCAGCUAAACAUAAUCACAUCCGCAACUAAUCAGAAGUAGUUAUAAAAGUGCAGCAACUACACAAACAUCUCAGUUCACAAAUUGUAACCCUAUUCACUGCUCCUGGUUGUGUGAAAUUUCUUCAGAAAAGAGAAAAACAGAGACAUGAGAGAGUGGUAGUGAUGACGUGCACCGUCUGCCCUCACCUCGCAGCCUUGCACAUCUAAGCCAAAAAUUCAGAAGCGCACUGUUAAUUCAUUCCAUUCCAUUUUUGAAAUUUCCAUGACAACCUUGAACAUAAAUAGUGAUUUGACUUCCCAAGUACAAAGUCGAACUUAGUGAAUAAAAACAAAUAUAUGAGAAAGCAAGAAACAUUGCUUACCUCAACCAAUGACGACAGGUCUGUUGCAUGGAACAUGCCAAACGUGAGUGUGUGAAUGCUUCCCCGCAGCGACAUGGCAUCACAUGUAAUAUUGUUUAAGUUGCCAUAUUCUUCCUCCACAAAAUAAAUUAUGCACACCUUAGAUUAUGCACCUAAGAAUGACAUGAUGAAUCAUGGGUAAACUAUAACCAGCCUAUAGUCAACUUUUUCUUAUGACAUUUGUAGUACAAAUAAAUACUCUAUUCACCUUUAGGUAUGUUGCAUUUGCUGCUUCACAAGGAAGAGUGGGAGGCUCAUGAGCUGAGGCCUUGAGGGAACGUCCGAGUAGCUGAGUAGAAGAGCGCUCGUCCAAUUCCCAGUUUCACUACCACAAAUUCGGUAGACCAGAUCAUAAUUCCAGUACCACAAUUUAAUAUCAAUACCGUAUACCUGAAAAAGAAUGGUUUCAUUUUAGUAGAAAAUCAUACCCACCAGUUUCAGUGAAAAAUCAAAAUCCAUUUUGAAAACAAGUGGAGGUAUCUUAGUAAUAAAAAAAAUACCACAUCCAUUUCAGUACAAAAAUGAAAGCCAAUUUCAGCGUCCGAUCCAUCGCAAUUUCAAUACUUAAUUGAAAUCUUAGAACCACUGAUUCAAAAUAAAUAUUAAAUUAAAAUCUUAUAGGGACUUUAUCCGGUUUAGGAGUAGAGUCAAGCCUAUCUGAUUUUAGAGUUUAGGGUUGUAGUGUCCACUUAGACAAACGAAAGCUGAAGAUAAAAGAGCUCACAAUCCUAAUUUGAAUUUGCUGAAACUGUAAUUGAUUUUAGUUUCAAUAUUGAAAAUCAAUGCUUCUAUAAUUCUUUUAAGAUUGACAAUUGAAAAGCCAAUUAUUUAUUUAUUUAUUGUUAUUUUAUGUAGUUGGGGACCUAGUAGACAUGCAUGUUUAAAAAAUCUGAUGACGUGGUUAAAACACCCCUGCAAUAAUCCUUGGAUUAUACUCAAUCUAGGAAUCUAUACACUAUCUAUUUUUUUCAGUUAAUCGUUUGCUUGUGUUUUGAUUACAGGUUUGUAACGUUCUUGAACAUUAAGAACCGAGAAAAUCAUAAUUUAGCCAUCAUAACACAACGCGGAGGUCUACAAACCUAUAGGCAUACUGUGUGCAUAUAUACAGACACAAACACAUCGACUAGAUGGUUAACAAAUUCAUUUGGAGCUCAUGAAUAAAACCUAUAGGUACGUCAUGCCACUUAAUCAGUGGUACAACCUCGUGAAUAAAUCAGAGCUUACCUUCAGAUGAGCGGAUUCCGUUGUCCCAACAAAACCGCCCACUUCGCUGAAGUGUUGCUGUUGGUGAAAGGCAGA
rnacentral:lncRNA from 1 species